rnacentral:lncRNA from 1 species
UCAUCUCCAAAAGUCAGUGUUUUCAUCAAAGGACGUAGUAUCCACGAUAAUUUUCUCUAUGUGCGCAACAUGGCACAUUGUUUCCACCGCAACAAAACGCCUAUGCUCCUCAUCAAACUGGAUAUUUCAAAGGCAUUCGAUUCCGUUCGAUGGGGUUAUCUGCUAUCAUUGCUGUCACACAUUGGCUCCCCGCAAAGAUGGAUUGAUUGGAUAGCGGCUUUACUUUCGACCGCUACAUCUCAAGUACUGCUAAACGGGAUCCCAGGCCAGCCCAUCGUUUAUGGAAGGGAACUACGACAGGGUGAUCCCUUCUUACCCCUGCUAUUCAUUCUUGCGAUGGACCCCCUACAACGCAUACUUCACCUUGCAACUGAGGCUGGCCUCCUUAGUGCAAUUGGUCGGAACAGGACCAAACUUCGCACGUCGCUCUAUGCAGACGAUGCUGUCCUUUUCAUCAGGCCGGUCAAGAAUGAAGUCACGUGCCUUGUCCGCCUACUGGAACUCUUCGGGGAGGUCACAAGGCUCUGCGCUAAUGUGCAGAAAUCUUCGGUGGUCCCAAUUAGCUGCGGAAACAUUGACCUCGACGACAUUCUAGCGGAUUUGCCGGCACAACGCGCUCAAUUCCCCAUCAAGUACCUUGGAUUGUCACUCUCGGUCAGGCGGCUAAAGAAGGCUGAUUUCAUGCCACUCUUAAACAAAACCCGCGGCAAGCUCACAGGUUGGUGGGGCCGGAACCUCACGCAAGCAGGUAGGCUGACCUUGACAAAGUCGGUGCUGUCCUCACAGCCAAUUUAUGUUCUAAUAGUGAUCAAUGCCAACAAGGAUGUAUUGGAUGAGUUUGAUAAGAUAAAGAAAGUGUUUCCUUUGGGCAGGCGACCAUAGGUUAACUGGUAGAAAAUGCAAAGCGAACUGGCCAAUGGUGAAUAGACCAAAGGAGUCAGGGGGAGUGGGCUUGCUCGAUCUGCAUAAAUUUGCAAGAGCACUACUAAUGAGGUGGCUAUGGUAGGAGCACACCGAGCCAGAUAAGUCGUGGACUGGCUUAGGGAACCUCUGCGAUGAGACCAACAAACUACUUUUUGCGGCAUGCACAGACAUCAAGCUCGGGGAUGGGACGCGCAUAUCCUUCUGGCACUCGGCCUGGGCCAACGGGUGUUGGCCAAAGGAUAUUGCACGGAACCUUUACAACAUUUCGAAAAGGAAGAAUAGAUCCCUAANNNNNNNNNNNNNNNNNNNNNNNNNNNNNNNNNNNNNNNNNNNNNNNNNNNNNNNNNNNNNNNNNNNNNNNNNNNNNNNNNNNNNNNNNNNNNNNNNNNNCAGACUCGUCUUGCGUUUAGCCUCCACUUAUAUAAUGGGUUUUGUAAAUAAUCUACGUUUAAUACCCCUAAUUAGUGUCUAAACAUUCGAUGUGACACGUGCUAAAAAUAAGCAAAGGGAACCAAACGCCACCUAAUUCAAGGAGAGGAGGACUCCAUCACGUGGAAACUAAACAGAAGCGGCAUAUGCUCUUCGGCGUCGGCAUACAAGGCGCAUUUCAUCGGAUCAAUGCCACAUGAUCUAUCGAGGCUAAUCUGGAAACAGUUCUUUGCGUGGCUGGACGGCAGAUAGGCUUGAGGUCAGGGGAUGGCCCCGAAACGCAUCUUGUCCGCUAUGCAGGAGUUGUCAGGAAACAGCGCACCAUAUCCUAGCCGAUUGCUGAUACGCAAAACGGAUAUGGAGCGGGCUGGCCACCUGAAGCCAAUGGGAGCAAAUUCAUCCGUUUGCAUGGCCACAAUCAGCGACGGUACACGAGUGCUCGUGGUAUCCUUUUAAUCAGGGACACGUCGUACGUCGUUUGCUGUUAGCUAAUCCAUCAUUCCAUCUCGAUGUGUAUAGUGCUCCGGAGCUUUAAUUUGAUCCAGCAUAAAUUCUAGAUAGUUGGGAGGCAUGGCCAUCAUCCAGUCCCUGGUGCAGAUUCCGAUCGAGCUGGCCCCAAUUAUUGCAACAUCGACGGGCCGCCCCGACUGCAGACCACACGCAUUUAUCCAUAUCUACCCUACAUGCAAGAGAGCCACGGGCUUUCAGAGCUCAUCAGAGGAUGGAGAACCAUUUCAGUGAAAGAUAGCAGCUGUAGCUACCGAUCACAUGAGGCUGUACUGUGCGCACCAAACACUGUGCAGACUGCAGGAACUGGAUGUGCCUUUCAUUUUCUCAAAGGAAAGCUAGCAGGAGUAGCACUGGUUAAACAAGCAACAUCUGAAAGCAAACGACCGAUGAGUAGAGCUGUAGAGUGCCAAUCAAUCUGUGUGUUAUGGAAAAGCAUUCCUGCUACUGUCCAGGUGUAGCAAAUUAAAGACGUACGGUAGUGGCCUUGAGCUAUGCGUACUUGUAUUAUCUAGUAAAAGGUGAAGCGAAAGAUGCAAUCUUUGUCGAGUAAAAUCAGGAAAGGGGUCAUCACCCUGGCCUGCCGCCUCAUGUUAAAGGACAUCAACAAAGGUUCAAGGUGCAUCAUUGCAGCUAUACAGCUAUCAGCAACUUUUAUCAUCUUUCCAUAUUCAAAUGGAACUUAAUUAGCUAGGACAAAGUAAAAAGACAAGAAGAGCAAUACAAAGAAAGAAUGAGUGCCAAGAUUUUUAGCAUGCUUUGGCUUUGAAUUCACUCGAAGUGGUAGAUUAGAUUCAAGGGCAGACAGUACCAACGGAUCAGACGCCGUUGAAGAAGGAAGGCACCGGCGGCAGUGGUUGAGGAACACUGGCGGUCCAUCCAUAAAGUGCAAAGCAGCAGGACCAUUCGAUUCGAUGAGGCCACGCCAGAUCAUCUGUCUCGAUCUCAUGCAUCUUUGCGAAAUCCAUGGCAGAUAUAUUUUUUUUCCUGGCCCUGUGGCUACAUGCAAUUGCAAUUUGCAAAUGUCAGGGAGACACUACCGAACACUGAUCGCGUACUGCAUCGCGAGUCGAUGUCGACCCUGACAGUUUCCCGUACCUGAUCGAUCGAGAAAAAGGAUGGCAUGAUGUUGAUGAUGCAUCUCAUUAUCCAUGACAAAUAGGAACAAAGCUCCAUUCUUCAACCAAAGCUGAUGAGUUACUUCUCUCUUCUCUCUUCAGAACAUACACUUGUGCAUCAACUAAGGACGACAAUACAUACUACAUACACAAAGCCAAUACAUACUACAUACAAGGACGACAAUGACUGAAAGUGAUGGCACCAGCCAAUACAUCACUGCGAAGCAAGCUGUGCACAUCAGGAUGCCCAGUUGCCCAUCCCCAACAGUGCCGAUCGACAGGCGAGUUUGUGGCGCCAAGGCUAGACAGAGAACCCAAGUGGAACACUGCACGUCCGUCCAUACACAAACCCUGCUGAAACUUCCAGCAGCCGGGCUGUCGCCAUACGGACACGGAUCUGUACACAGCUCCUAUACCGGGCGUACGUGAAAAAAAAAAUACUUGUGAUCGUCUGGUUGCUGUCACGCCCUCGAGGUUGGAUGGAGCAGCUAGCAGCACAAGGGACGUACUGGGAGAGACGAAAAUUCAGCAGGGAAGAAGAAGAAGAACAGCCAGUAGCAUAGCAUCCUGUCCUGAUCGAGGUGGUUUGGUUACGAACGAACAGUCAACCGGAGGAAAAAAAAAGGAGAUGAGGCGUGCUUUGACAGCUGGCGUGGCUGUCUUGCGUGUGGGAUCGUGUGGUGGCCAGGGACUGACAGGGGUCCACGGGUGCUUGACCGUUUGGAGAGCAAGAGACCAAAGCCGGAGGUAACCUCUCGUCACCUCUCAUCUCAUCCCAUCUCACACGCGGAUGGAUGGAACGGAUGGACAUGGAUGGAUCCAUGCUCUCAUUGCUCAUUGGUCAUUGCUCAAGCUGGCCACCACCGGAUGAACACGGCCAUGCGUGUGUCAGUGUGUGGAUACGGCCACACGCCUAGCUAGGCAGUAUACGGCCAUCACACCAGGACUGUGAACCAUGGUUUGUGGCGUCAACGGGAAGCAAAGUUGCACGCUGUCGUCGUCGCGCCGCAGGAUAGAGAUGCCCACAAGGCCUCUCGAUCGAUGUUCCAUUGGCAACAUUCUCACACCGUCACACGAGGACAACAAGAGAAGACUAGCCUGCCUGCUUUCACGUACAAGUCCAGCCGUAAUUGCUCUUGUGAAUUUUGGUACUAAAAAUUCCUAAUUCAAAGACAAAUCUUGGUAAAAUUCCUACUCAUCCAGGUACAGUUCAAAGACUUGACCAUCUGAACACAUCUACAUGACUGCAGUCCACACGUCCAGAAAAAAGUUCAUCGUUUCAGCAGCGAGAAGCCUAGAGCACUAUGCAGUGCAACCAGUGGUUGAAGCACUGGUGCAUGGGCAGCUUCAUAAGCUCGCUCAUCUGCCACGGUAAGCGGCAUUAAUGCCAGGCCCCCCACCCUGUCUCCUCUGUCAGCCCACCGUCUUCGUCUUCAUCGAUCCACACCACACGUCCACACACGUACGGAACGGAACCCUCUCCUUCUUCCUUCCACUCCUUUCACUCGCUGCUGUCCGCUACUGCCCAUGGCAGUGUCCGGCGGCGGUGCUCCUUUAACGCUGUCUCCUUCCCCAGCCCGCUCCUUCCUUUCUUGAAGAAACCUUUAUUUCCCGGCCGGGGGCCAGGCCAUCGAAUCUGUGAAACCUUUCCUCCUCUGUCCUCUGUCUCGGCUCGCAGUUUAUUCUCCUUGCUAUGCCCCGUCCUUUGUUUUCUGAUCCUUCUGCUACCUCUCCAUCGGCAAUGUCUCUUCCCCAGGAGCUGGAUAGAUGCGUGCGGGUGAUUGUAGGCCUGUAGAAAGGAAGAUCCUUGAUUGAUCGAGCCAGGCGGCAUGUCGGAGUCCAGCAGGGCGUUCCAGCUCGACGCGCCGUCGUCGGCCGCCACAGCCGGAGACGGCCGCGGCGGGAAGGCUGGCCCCAGCGGCGCCGGCGGCAGCGUGCCGUUCUACCGGCUGUUCGCGUUCGCGGACGGCGCGGACGCGGCGCUCAUGUCCCUGGGCGCGCUCGGCGCGGUCGCCAACGGCGCCGCGCUCCCGCUCAUGACCGUCCUCUUCGGCCGCCUCAUCGACGCCUUCGGCGGCGCCGCCACAACCAGCGACGUCGUGCGCCGCGUCUCCGGGGUGUCGCUGCAGUUCGUCUACCUCGCCGUCGCCUCCGCCUCCGCCUCCUUCGUGCGUAAGUGCUCGCCACCGACACACCCCCACACGCACCGACACUGAGUAUAUAUUCCCCGCUGCUGCUGAUUCCCUCGCUCCGCUGGGUCCCCAGAGGUGGCGUGCUGGAUGAUCACCGGCGAGCGGCAGGCGGCGCGGAUACGGAGCCUCUACCUCCGGACCAUCCUGCGGCAGGAGGUCGCCUUCUUCGACCCAGCACACCAACACCGGCGAGGUCGUCGGCCGGAUGUCCGGCGACACGGUGCUCAUCCAGGACGCCAUGGGCGAGAAGGUCGGCAAGUUCAUCCAGCUCCUCGUCACCUUCGCCGGCGGCUUCGCCGUCGCCUUCGCGCAGGGCUGGCUCCUCACGCUCGUCAUGCUCGCCACCAUCCCGCCGCUCGUGCUCGCCGGCGCCGUUAUGUCCGGCGUCGUCGCCAGAAUGGCCUCGCUCGGCCAGGCCGCCUACGCCGAGGCUGCUGCCGUCGUCGAGCAGACCGUCGGCUCAAUCAGAACAGUAAGCACGCCAAGCACCGAUCAUGUCGGUCCGAUUCCGAUGAGUGCCGGAACACUGACGCCACGGCCGUGGAACGCACCCGCAGGUGGCGUCCUUCACUGGUGAGAAGCGGGCGGUGGAGAAGUACAACGAGUCGCUCAAGAGCGCGUACAGCUCCGGCGUCCGGGAGGGCCUCGCCGCCGGCAUCGGCAUGGCCAUCGUCAUGGUGCUCCUCUUCUGCGGCUACUCCCUGGGGAUUUGGUACGGCGCCAAGCUGAUCCUGGAGAAGGGAUACUCCGGCGCCCAGGUCAUGAAUGUCAUCUUCGCAGUGCUCACUGGCUCACUGUAAGGCUUUUUUCCCCUUCACUGUCGCAUUUCCGAUAAAUUCAGUUGCAGUAAUCUCAGUUCCCAAGCAAGAUCAUGCUAGUAGUGUGUGACUAAUAGUCUUAUCUGCAAGAAAAGACUGGAAGGUUUCAGGAACGAAAAGACUAAGAAAAAAGAUGCUUACGUUGCUAUCUCUUUAUAUGAUUAAGCCAUCUAUCUGGAUUUUGCCUCUUUCUGUAUAUGAUAAAGCCCUCUAUUUGGAUGUUGCGCUGAUUAAGACAUGUCAGGCCACCCAAAGACACAAAAUUAGCUGCUGUUUGACAGUGAUAAGCACGUGAUUUUUGGUGACCAAACGGAUAAAGAUACACCAACUGUGCACGUAUGGUUCAUUCUGUUGGCAGCAACUAAUCAAGUGCAGAUCAUGCCAACCUUGCCUUUUAUGUUUUUUUAUAACAAGUUCAUGCCAACCUUCGGUAGAAACUGAAUUGUGUUUUCCAAUAACCAUAAAUGGUACAUGGCAAUCAAAUUAUCAUGAACUUUUCUGUUGAGAAAGUUUCAUCUCAUACACUUUCAUAUCAUGCACAUCAAAUAAAUUUCAGUUGUUUUAAAUCUAUCUUGUUCAGUGAUUCAUCUACUGCACUUUCAACAUCUUUUCUGUUCAUCAAAAUCAAAAUACUAUUGACUGCACAUGGAGUUAUUGGAUCAAACUAAGCAACAGAACUAUUGGUUAAUCCAGAAAGCUGACACUUCACUAUUGCAAUCACCAGAGCUCUGGGUCAGGCAUCACCGAGCAUGAAAGCGUUUGCAGCUGGGCAGGCUGCAGCAUACAAGAUGUUUGAAACCAUCAACAGGGAGCCAGAGAUCGAUGCGUACAGCGCAACAGGUAGGAAGCUGGACGACAUUCAGGGGGACAUUGAGUUCAGAGAAGUUCAUUUUUCAUACCCAACAAGGCCUGACGAGCAGAUCUUCAGAGGUUUCUCCCUUGCCGUACAGAGUGGUACAACUGUCGCACUCGUUGGCCAGAGUGGUAGUGGCAAAUCGACAGUCAUCAGCUUGAUCGAGAGGUUCUACGACCCUCAGCUUGGUGAAGUUCUGAUAGAUGGUGUGGACCUCAAGGAGUUUCAGUUGAGGUGGAUCAGAAGUAAAAUCGGCCUCGUGAGUCAAGAGCCAGUCCUGUUUGCUGCUAGCAUAAGAGACAACAUAGCUUAUGGCAAGGACAAUGCGACGGAUGAGGAAAUCAGAGCUGCAGCUGAGCUUGCUAAUGCCUCCAAAUUCAUAGAUAAAAUGCCCCAGGUCAGAAGACCGCUUAUCCUAAGACAUACCAUUAGUAAUGUGCAGAAUUGGACAGAUCUAUAUAAGGGAGAAUAUUUGAACAUCUGUAUUUCUUGAUGUUUUGGCAUUUUUCAGGGUUUAUCUACUUCAGUUGGUGAACAUGGAACACAACUUUCAGGUGGUCAGAAGCAAAGAAUUGCCAUUGCAAGAGCAAUUCUAAAAAAUCCAAGAAUCCUUCUUUUGGAUGAAGCAACAAGCGCUUUGGACACUGAAUCUGAAAGGAUUGUGCAGGAGGCUCUUGACAGGGUUAUGACAAACCGGACAACUGUGAUUGUUGCUCACCGUUUGAGUACCGUCAGGAAUGCCGAUACCAUUGCUGUCAUUCAUCGAGGAUCAGUAGUUGAAAAAGGUACAUUUUUUUUUACUGAAACACCUGGAAUCAAAACCAGAUGCACUGUCCCAACCGUAUCUUUUCUUAAUAAUUGCUUAGUUCCUUAAAGAUUUCACACUUGACCAGGUUCACACCAUGAGCUUGUAACGGAUCCAGAGGGAGCUUACAGCCAGCUGAUACGCCUACAAGAAGCAAGUCAUGCUUCCGAGGGAGCAAACUACCAGAACAAGUCAAGCACGAAGGAUGAUUCCUGGAUUUACGCAGGCAAACAGACGCCAACAAAUCAAUCAGCUACCAUAAGGUCACCUCAGAACAACAGCAGAAAUCACUCAUUGUCAGUAUCAUUCAGCGUACCUCUUGAAAUCAAUGUCCAGGACAGAUCAUCAAAGAAUGUAGAUGAAGAAAUUGAGCAGGAAGUGCCUCUCAGCCGCCUCGCAUCGCUUAACAAACCGGAAAUCCCAGUGCUUAUUCUUGGUUCUAUUGCUUCGGCUAUCAGUGGAGUAAUCUUCCCGAUCUUUGCGAUACUCCUAUCAAACGUGAUCAAAGCAUUCUAUGAGCCGCCACUUAUUCUGAGGAAGGAUGCCGAGUUUUGGUCAUCUAUGUUCUUGGUAUUUGGUGCAGUGUACUUCUUGUCACUUCCUCUUGGCUCAUACCUUUUCUCAGUGGCUGGGUGCAAGUUGAUCAGAAGGAUCAGAUUGAUGACUUUCCAAAAGGUGGUUAAUAUGGAGAUUGAAUGGUUUGAUUACCCAGAGAACUCAAGUGGAGCAAUUGGGGCAAGGCUAUCGGCGGAUGCUGCGAAAGUUCGGGGGCUUGUGGGUGAUGCACUUCAGCUGGCUGUGCAGAAUUCAGCAACUUUAAUUGCUGGUUUGGUAAUUGCUUUCAUAUCGAACUGGCAGCUAUCACUUAUCAUAUUGGCCUUGAUACCGCUAAUUGGCCUCAACGGAUGGAUCCAGAUGAAGUUUAUUCAGGGAUUCAGUGCAGAUGCAAAGGUAUGAUGAAUUCAUUACAUAUGUUGUUGUGUUUCCAGCCAAUCAAUUAUCUAUUCCUGUUCUUGAUCAAUUCACCGACUGUAUGUUAUGAUUUUAGUUGAUGUAUGAGGAGGCAAGCCAAGUAGCAAAUGACGCGGUGAGCAGCAUAAGGACAGUGGUCUCAUUUUCAGCUGAAGAAAAGGUGAUGGAUUUGUACAAGAAAAAAUGCGAAGGAGUCUUAAGAGCAGGGAUCAGGACAGGAAUAAUAAAUGGUAUUGGUUUUGGGGUAUCCAUCUUCUUGCAGUCUGGAGUGUAUGCAGCCAGCUUCUAUGCUGGCGCGCGGCUUGUUGAGGAUGGGAAAACAACUUUACCCAAAGUUUCAUGGUAGUAUCAUGUUAAUCAUGAUAUCUUUACAGAUUCAACUUUCACAAAUAAGUGGAUUUUAAUGUCAUGAAGCAUUUAUAAAUUGACAUAUGUUUACCAUGACACUGAAAUGCAAACUUGGGCAUCUGAAUGCAGGUAUUUCUUGCUCUAAGUAUGGCAGCAAUUGGGGUGUCGCACACAAGUACCCUCACAUCAGAUUCUUCCAAAGCAAAAUCAGCCGUAUCCUCUAUAUUUACCAUCAUGGACCGAAAAUCAAGGAUAGAUCCAGGUGACGACGCCGGGGUAACCCUAGAGCCGCUAAGUGGUGUCAUCGAAUUUCAGCAUGUGAGAUUCAGAUAUCCUACACGGCCCGAUGUUCAGAUUUUCCAAGACCUGUGCCUGACAAUUCAAUCUGGAAAGGUACUACACAUCCUAAUUUCUCCACUCGACAUUGUUACUUGAUGUCAACCUAACUGUUUGCACUAUGUGUCUUACCUGUCAGACUGUUGCGCUUGUUGGAGAGAGUGGUAGUGGCAAAUCGACGGCGAUAGCAUUGCUGCAGAGAUUCUAUGAUCCUGAUGCAGGCCAUAUACUCCUGGAUGGAGUGGACAUACAGAAGUUCCAGCUGAGGUGGCUGAGGCAACAGAUGGGACUGGUGAGUCAAGAACCAUCUCUGUUCAAUGACACGAUCCGGGCAAACAUCGCCUACGGAAAGGACGGGCAAGCGACAGAAUCAGAUGUUGUGGCUGCUGCACAACUGGCAAAUGCUCACAAGUUCAUCAGUUCAUUGCAUCAGGUAAUGCCUCAACUGUACUACUGCGAACUGCCUAUCCGAAGAAUCAAGUGUUUGUUAUAGAUAUAAGUGUUGUUACCUGAAAAAAAAAAUGCAGGGAUAUGACACAAUGGUUGGGGAGCGUGGGGCUCAACUAUCCGGAGGGCAGAAGCAGCGUGUGGCCAUCGCUCGUGCCAUCGUGAAGGACCCCAAGAUCCUCCUCCUCGAUGAAGCGACGAGCGCGCUCGACGCGGAAUCCGAACGGGUAGUGCAGGACGCUCUGGACAGGGUGAUGGUGAACAGAACAACAGUCAUCGUGGCGCACCGCCUGUCAACAAUACAGAGUGCAGACGUGAUCGCGGUGGUGAAGAACGGUAUGAUCAUCGAGAAGGGAAGGCACGAUACCUUGAUCAACGUCGAGGGCGGGGCGUACGCGUCCCUCGUCGCGUUGCAUUCAGCAGCACCGUCGUAGCCACAUUCAGUUCAGAGGUGAUACUGAAUCUGAGAUAGGCGAGCAGGACCGGCAGCUUAACAAAAGUUCAGGCGCCGGUUCUUGUUGUCGUUGUCCAGGUCCUGAUGAAAUAGAUGCAAAGGCAGACAUAUAUGUUAAGAUGACUCCCGCAUAGCUAAGAAGGAAAGAAGAUUACAGGAAUAAUAGUGUCAAAAUGUAAAUGCAGCAACCAUGCUGUGCCCAAGUUACUGAUAUGAAUACAGAUGUUCAGUGUAACAUGUACUGAAUGUAGAUCAUACUCCUAGCUAGCAUACUCUAAUAACAAAGAAGCAGAUGACGAUUGUGAUACGUCUUCACCUUGUUGCUUUGAAUUCAUCCCAUUUGAAGAAAAGCGUAGUCCUGGGCUAUCCUGAUUCCCAAGAAGGCAAGAACACAACCUUGUAGCAACAGAGUCAAUCGCAAUUCCGGUGCCAUGCGGCUGACAAAGUGAAACUCCUUCCACAAAGAAGCUGAAUUUAGGUUGAUCCUACAGAAAAAAAAAAUGAUGACUGUAAAAGCAGAAGAGCUCCGACAGGCGACAGCAACAAAACAGCCGUAUAAAACGAGAAGGAAAAAAAAAUUCAACCCUAGAGAAGAUGGGGAGCUCCGGAGCACCUUCCAAUUCCAAACGAAAGAAAAGGAAGCAGUUUUCUCUGUCAAAAUCGGAGAGGAAGGACACGGCAAGGGGUAAGCUCGUAAAGAUCAACAGUUUCGUGAUUCCCUCGAUCUUCAAUCGGGAUCGACUACGGAGUACGGACUAGCAAGUCCGGAUAGGUUCUUCCCCCAAAUCCCUCCCGGCGCCACGUAUUCGCUGACGUGUAACGCAUCCGGCCCGUCCAUUCCCCGACCCCGGCGCCCGACCGCCAGGAUCUUCGAGCGGCACGAGCGCGCACGCGCGAGGCAGAAAGCUGCCGCCAGCCACUCGCGGCGCGCCACGUGACCACAAAGGGCAUAACGGUCAAAUCCCACCUCCCACAGCGAGACGCGUAGAAGCGUCGCCAACCAGGACUCUCCAGGAGAAGAGGUGGAAAGGAAAAAAAAAAAACUGUCGCGUGUGGAGGCGGGCAGGCAGCAAAGGUCCCCCUCGCCGACGGUGACGUGACGACAUGGAGCUCACCGGUGCCGCGCUCCGGCGGUCCCUGCCGGCGGCGUCCCCGGCGGCCGCGAGGUGGAGGGGGAAGGGGCGGAGGAGGGCGCCGGCCAGGGUGUCCUGCGUCGGGGGCGGGGGGUUCGCGGAGGAGGGCCACCUCAGGUACUACGAGGCCGCGGCCCCGCGGAGGAAGGCCGUGGAGGCGGUGGCGAGGGACCUGGCCAAGCUCCGGGCCAUGGGGCUCGUCGCGGGGGACGCGGCCAAGGAGAAGGUCCUCUCGGUGAGCCCUCUGUUUCUCCCCCUCCUUCCACGCCUUUGCUCUUAUUUCGGUUCCAUUCGGGGAAUUGGACGCAGAAUCUCAAUUGCUUACUAUAAUGAAUUUGUUGCUGUCGGGUGGGUUUACUGGAAUAGUGAUGGCGGCGAUGUAAUAUGGUUGAUUUGGUCUAGGAAUAAUAAAAUUUGCUCUGUUGGCCAACUAAUGUUAGUUCAUGGUGAUAACUAAACGGUUCUGUAAAAAGAGUACCAGUGCUUGCAUCGAACAUGUUUCAGUGGUGAUUAGUUUGUUGAUAGUUUUGUAUUGUGUAUUCGGGUUGAUUGGAACUCGAAUUGAAUUCUGAUUUGCUUGCAAUUGGGACCGCAGGAAGCCACGGAUCUUCUGCUGCAGGAGCUGAACCAGAUGAAGGACGAGGAAUACAAGAUGAAGAAGGCCCAGAAAGAGGAGGAGAAGGCUGCCAUGAAAGCACUGAAGCAGCAGCAGAAGGAAGCGAAGCAGGCUGUCACAGCCGCCAUGAUGAACUGCGAAGAUGAGUCGUCCUCUGAAUCAAGUGAGAGCGAUUGUGAGGACGAGCAAGCCAUGAAUGUUGAGCUGGACAUGGUGAUCUCGGCAGCAGUUCCUGAAGUUGUUGCACCCGGCGUAUCGACUGUCUCCGCAAUGGAGUGCGAGAAGGCUGCAAUGAAGGCCAUGAAGAAAAUGGAGAAGGAACGAAUGAAGGCCAUGAAGAAGAUGGAGAAGGAGCAGAAGAAGGCUGCGAAGAAGGCCAUGAAGAUGGAGAAGGAAGCAAAGAAGAUGGCCAUGGCCACACUGAAUGGCUGCAGGGAUGAAGACGAUUCCUCGUGCUCAUCAGAGUCCAGUGACAGCGAAUGCGAGGGGGAGGUUGUCAGGAUGAGCCGCUGCGCUACAAUCACCGCACCACAAAUGCCAUCUCCAAGCACGGUUUUCCCCAUCAUAGUUCCUCAAAUUCCACCCUCGCUGCCUUCGGAGCCAUCUCAAGCUUCAGAGCCUGCAACUGCAAUGCAAGUCAACAGCAUCAGCAGCAUUGCAGUAGCUGAGACAUCCACAACCAACAGAAUCGAGGUCUGCAUGGGUGGCAAAUGCAAGAAAUCAGGCGCGCUUGCUCUUCUGCAGGAGUUCGAGAAGACUGUGGGCACUGGAGGUGCGGUCGUCGGGUGCAAGUGCCUAGGAAAGUGUGGCCUAGGGCCCAACGUGCGCCUGAGGAGCGAGGUCUCAGCGGAAGGUUCUUCAAAGAGGAACCCACUUUGCAUCAGCGUAGGGUUAGAAGAUGUUGGCACCAUAGUGGCAGGUCUCUUCGGGGAUGUUGAGCUGGGCAUGACGUCCACCUAGACCUAGCACUCUUGGCAAGAGUUGAAGCUGUAUUAGCUGUUGUUGUACUGAACAAAUAUACAGCACAGACCAUAGCUACGGCCCUGCUUAUGUACUAUAUAUAGAACAUCUAAAUCUAUGCUAAUCAAGGUUUCAGAUUUGAGAUCCAUAGUGCACUGUGAUUGUUUCAUGGUUUUCAGAUUUGAGCAUCUGUGACUGUCAGUAGGGAUGCUUAACGGUCUUGGAGAAAUUACUGGAACUGGUGACCUGCAGGUGUAGUGUUUGUGUGAGAUUUCAGAUCCAUAUAGUGCACUGUGAUUGUUUCAUGGUUUUCAGAUCUGAGCAUCUGUGACUGUCAAUAGGGAUGCUUAAUGGUCUUCACUGUCUGGACGGACGAAUUACUGGAACCGGGUGACCUGCAGGUGUAGUGUUUGUGUCUGAGAUCCUUGAAUUCACACAAGUUUUUCAAAGAUAAGCUCAGGCUCAUCUUCGUUACUUGAUUCCUGUUUCGCCUCAGCUAAAACAAUAGCCUCUGUUGCUUGAUUUCUGUUUUGCUUGGUGACCUGUCUCUGUCUCUUAACUUCCUCUAGUCACAGGUGACGCUUUGGAUAAUGCUUGCACAUUCUUUAGGAACCUUGACUAUCAACAACACUAGAAAAUUUAGAUGGAAGAGUUCUUAAGAAUUUUUUUCAUAACCUCAUAUAUUCAUAGGAUAUAUCCAGUUACGUACUGGUGCAUGUCAGUGACGCCGUAUCAGUGAUUCUGUAGGAUACAUUAGAGAUGGAUGCCUCCUCAAAACAUUGGGAUCAGAUCAUCUCGUAACUCUUUCGAUGGUGCCUGAAACAUGCUCCGUAGUUCAGAUUGAGCUAUGAAGACGACGGGGGUGGAAAGGAGGAGAAUGGGAGGGCUUGCCGGCUUGGGGCGAGCGCUCGACCGUUUGGUGGGCUCGGUCUCAAAGGGGGCCCCGUUUUGGAAAGAAAGGCCCACAAGAAACAAGCUGACGGGAGAAAGAAUCUUGGAAGCAGUAGUAUAUGCGUUGUUUAUCUGGGCGGUGGUAGAGAAAAUAUCUGCCGUCGUGCAACACGCCACGCCGUCGACCACCCACCCGUUGCUCUCGCUUCAACCCGCUUCAUCCAUUCCAGUUCUGACAUCUUCCGAGUGCUCCGGAACACCCGACACCCACAAAACCUACCUCCAUCGCCCCCUUGCCACCGACACGUGGGCCAGGCACUGCCCGCGGGCCCACCACGCGCGCCACGAGGAGGGGACCCGGGCGGGAGGUGCCAAGUCGCCUUGCCACGGUCUCUGACGCCAUUGGUUGGUUCUAUUGUAUUUAUCGCUCGCACGUCCACUCUUCUUCUUCCUCCUCCCCUCCUCCUCUUCCUUGACUUUGCCACCGUCCUUAUUCUUCGUCUUGGAAGCGAGGUAGCUGCACGGAGCACGCCUCCACUCCACUCAAUAUAAGGCGAGUGGUUCUCUUGCUCGAACCGCCUCCCGUUGACCUCACCUUCUGCCUGACUGAGCUCUGCUCUGCGAACACUUGUUGGCGUCCUCUUCUCCGCGCCUUUGCCUGGUAUGUCUGAAUGAAUGAUGUGUCUAGGAUGUAGUGCGAGUGUUCAGUUCGCGUAGUUCUCGUGACUAUGUUCGGUAACACCCUCUGAUGCCGCUAGCUAUUAGCUUGAUUGAUUGGCUAUCCUGUCCUAUUCCUGAUUGUUUCGACUGUUCGACAGAGAAACAUUUCAGCCUUAUACAGAUAGGGGGUGUGCUAUUCUUCAUUGAUUCAUGUCAGCACCUGUUUUGGAUAGAUAGAUCGAUGAUUGAAGGAAGCUGUACUAAAUCUUUAGGCUUUGCUAUGGUUUUGUUGGGGGGCUUUGAUUUCCAGUUGAGCUCCACUGUGCUGAAACUUUCCUGAAUACCAGCAUCUCCAUUGGUUGACUUCCGAAUUCGCUGAGGCCAGAGCUGCAUAGGCCAGUAGGCCUACUGCAUGGAGUAUACAUCAGCCUUAUCCUAAUCCGUGCUAACACAAAUUCUCCUCAGGUGCCGUUGCGUCUCUGGGAUGAUGAGGCACCGGCAGCUCCUGCUGGCGACGGCCUGCCUCUGGGCUCUGUCGUGCGCCUCACUGCUCAGCGCUUCCGCCCCCGACGGUGCCGGGCUGCUCAGGGUCAGCCUCAACAAGAACCGGCUCGACGGCGAGGCCCUGGCCGCGGCGAAGCUCGCCAGGCAGCAGGACAGCCGCCGCCUGGGUGCCGCCGCCCGCCACGGCGACGAGAUCCCUCUUGUCGACUACCUCAACACCCAGUACUUCGGGGUCGUCGGCAUCGGCACGCCGCCGCAGAACUUCACCGUCAUCUUCGACACCGGGAGCUCCAACCUCUGGGUCCCCUCCUCUAGAUGCUACUUCUCGGUGCGUCCAUUAUUCUUGGUUUCCAUUAUUCUUAUUAAGCUUUAGACUCACUGCGAUUGAUUGAACGAUUGAUACUCCGAUGCCUAAUUUUACUGCCACGUACCCACUGCAGAUAGCAUGCUACUUCCACCACAGAUACUAUUCCAGAAAGUCUAGCACCUACAAGGCUGAUGGUAUAUGGCCUGACCUUUUUCAUUGUUACAGUUUUCUCACACCAUUCAGAGAUGGUCGCUGAAUCUCUGCACUGCAUUUUUUUCCAUCACCAAAUUAUUCAGGGGAGACUUGCAAAAUUACCUAUGGCUCUGGAGCCAUUGCUGGAUUCUUCAGCAAGGAUAACGUGCUGGUUGGAGACCUUGUCGUCAAAAGCCAGGUAAUGAAUUGUGUUUUCAGUGUUAUUCUAGUUCCCCAUAUCAACAUUCACAUGGGAACCGUACCUCUAAUGCUGCUACUUAUUCUCCUCAUUUCAGAAGUUCAUUGAGACAACACGCGAAACCAGUGUCUCAUUUAUCCUAGGGAAGUUUGAUGGCAUUCUUGGUCUUGGAUACCCCCAGAUCUCCGUCGGCAAAGCUCCUCCGAUUUGGUAUGUGUUCCACCUAUUUAGUCAGUAGUUCUGUUUUGAUAAUUCACUAGUGUUUAAGCUUGUCGUCUUGUCACCUGAAACACGCCAUUUUGUCAUAUGGCAGGCAGAGCAUGCAAGAGCAGAAACUUCUUGCGGACAACGUCUUCUCCUUCUGGCUUAACCGUAAUCCUGAGGCAUCAUCUGGUGGUGAGCUUGUGUUUGGCGGUGUAGACCCGAAACACUUCAAGGGGAACCACACCUAUGUCCCUGUUUCGCGCAAAGGAUACUGGCAAUUCAAUAUGGGGGAUCUCCUCAUUGAUGGUCACUCAACCGGCUUCUGCGCCAAGGGUUGUGCCGCCAUUGCUGACUCUGGGACUUCUUUGCUGGCCGGUCCAACAGUAUGUAUCUUCAUACUGAUGAUCCAUAAUUUCUCUGUAUUUGUAUGAUCAUAGGAACUAGGGCCUAGAAAUUUAAUGUUGAGCUGGAACCAUUGAUUGGCACAUUAAUUUCUUGAAUUUUGAUAGAUACCUGAAUAUGUAGUAUCAUUUGCUGUAUAUAUGAAUAUGAAAGGUCCCCAAGUUCUUAUGAGACAUGAGUGUAACCUUUUGGAAGGCAGGAUGGCAUGACUAAAAUCUUGAAUUUGUGUUGUCCGCAGGCUAUAGUUGCUCAGGUGAACCAUGCAAUUGGGGCUGAGGGAAUUAUCAGCACGGAAUGCAAAGAAGUGGUGAGCCAGUAUGGAGAGAUGAUCCUCAACCUGCUCAUAGCACAGGUUUGCUAGUUUCUGCAUGUCACAGUUUUUGUUCAGACUUCCAACUAUGGAAGAUAUUGGGUAAGUAAUUUAAAUCUGAACUCUAGUAAUUUGGUAAUGCUCUGCCUCUGCAGACAGAUCCGCAGAAAGUUUGCGGCCAGAUUGGUCUGUGCAUGUUUGACGGCACUCACUCUGUCAGGUUAGCCCAUUUUACCGGACCAUUGUAAUUAGGGACACAUGUUUACUUUUAUCUUGGUCAUUGGGUUGACCCAAUACUCAUCAAAAUGAAAUAAUCUUGAUUCAAAGCAAGAAAUGAAAAUGAACUAAACCAGUGACCCAGAACUAACAAUUGGGUACCCACUUGAAUCCCUAAUUCUAACACGUGUCAAACUGGUUUGUCUAUUUUACUGCAUAUUCUUCUUUUCAUGCUAUAAUAAACUAUCAUGCGUAAUUUUCUGCAGUGAAGGAAUUGAAUCUGUUGUUGGGACAGAAAACCUGGGCUCAAAUGUUAUGUGCUCAGCCUGUCAGAUGGCUGUUGUGUGGAUAGAGAAUCAGCUCCGUGAAAACAAAACAAAGGAGCUGAUAUUGCAAUAUGCUAACCAGGUUACAAAAUUUAUGAUUUGCUCUGGGUGGUUUCUCUUGCCAUUGUAGAACUAUAUUAUUGAAGACAAGAUUAUUCCUUGUGUUCCAGCUAUGUGAGCGUCUACCAAGCCCCAACGGCGAAUCAACAGUCAGCUGCCAUCAGAUAUCAAAGAUGCCAAAGCUUGCAUUCACCAUUGCAAACAAGACCUUCACACUAACACCAGAGCAGGUGCUUUCUAGUAGCCUAUAGCUCAUUUUUCAACUACAGUAACCUUGUUUUUUCAUUUUCUACAGCACAGUAGUCAAAAUUUUCAGCAGAUGUUGCUUUUGGUAAAUGAUCAACAAAUUUUACUGAACAUUUUGUGAACAAGAUACUAGUGGACUCAAACUUUUGCAGCUCAACUUUCAUCAGAAGAGACCUAUUAAAUUCUAGAUUAAGGACUCACUGUUGGCACAGUACAUAACUGAACAUUUGAAGUGCCUACUUUUAAGUGCAUAAAUUUCCUAGAAGUUUUGAAGUGAUAUGAUUAGGUGUUGAUAUUUGGGACCAAAAAAUGCCUGGUAGAUGGAAUGCAGUUGACUUUGUAGGUCUUAUUUUUCGACAUGGUUUGAAGUAAAGUCUGUUAACGUCACCUCAAGUUCCUUUUCAUUACAUAAUCAUCACUGCAAUUGCAUACAUUUUUCAAACUUUCUGAAACUUGUAUUGCAGUACAUUGUCAAGCUGGAGCAAGGAGGCCAAACUGUCUGCAUCAGCGGGUUCAUGGCAUUCGACAUACCACCCCCACGUGGGCCUCUCUGGUGAGGAACAAAACAUUGCGUCAUAGUUUGACAUUUUUCCUUCUUUCCCUUCGCAAUCUGAGAGCUUGCAUAUGAACCAUUGAAGGAUUCUUGGUGAUGUCUUCAUGGGAGCUUACCACACGGUGUUCGACUUCGGCAAGGACAGGAUUGGCUUCGCGAAAUCUGCAUGAGUGUGGGAGCACUCUGCUCUUCACAAAAGAUAUCCUAUCUAUUAGGGAGCAUUGUAAAUAAAUGGAUGGUGAAACUGAGAACGUGAUUUAGCACACGGUAGACCUUUCUUUCUAAAGAAGACCAAAUGGAUGCUUGGAGGAUGUGCUUGGACACACGUAUGUUUUAUGUUUACUGAAGAAAGGAACACCGAGAAAUAAUAGCCUGCUCAUCUGAUCUCAUCUCUUGAAAACUGUUUGUUCAUGGUUGUACACCUUUAUCCUUUGUAAAAAAACUUCUGGAUUGACUUGGAACUGGUGAGCAUGUAUCAAUGCAAUUUGCUUCUUUGUGGUAUAGUUCCUGUCUUCUUGGUUAUGUUGGACUUAAUUCUAUGCUUGGGGUGUCUGGAACAAUAAUCAGCAACACCUUUGGAACCUUGCUAGAGAAAUUACACACAUAUGUUUCCGAUUCUGGAUCAUGCAUAUACUAAAGUAAUGUAGCAACAUUGAGUUUAUUGUGUAUAGUAUUUUGCAUUAUCUUUUGAAUGUUUUAAGGAAAAAGUGUAUUUUCCAUCCCUCAAUUAUUGUAAAAGUGUGACAUUCAUCCUUCAUGUUUCAUUUGGUGCAAAUUAACCCCUUAAAUAACUAAAUUGGUGCAUUUAUCAUUCCCACAUUAGUUUAACAAUAGUUUAGUGUCAUAUAACAUCAGUUUAGGCCAUAUUAUCAUCUUACUAAUUACUGUUUAGCCACGUAUAAUAUUUAGUCAAUUGCUUUAAUAGUUUUGUGUGAAUCGGUUUCGUUAAUUUUCCCGAUAAAAUAUAUAUGUGGUAGUCAAUUUAGAGGACUUAUUGAUUUUUUUUGGGCUUUAUGUCUUCAACUCAGCAUAUUACAUUGCUAAGCAGUGAUUUAGAUGAUUACGUGGCAUAACCUGCCCUUAGGUAGAACUAUAAACCAUUGUUAAAUUAAGGUGGGGACGAUAAAUGCACCGAUUUAGUUAGUUAAGAGGUUAAUUUGCAUCAAAUGAAACAUGAGGGAUGAAUGUCAAACUUUUACAGUACAUGAUGGAUGAAAAAUACAUUUUUUCCAUGUUUUAAAGGAUUCAAUAGGGACUGAUUGGGCCUACCACUUGAUUGGCAUUUCGAAUUAAAUACAGUCAGCGCUCUAAAUAUUCCGUAUCAAUAGACUGUUUGUGAAAUUAAUGUCUUCCAAAUGGUUUACCGUUAAUACAUUAAGAUGGAUUACUAUUCUAAUGAUGAAUUCACAUCGAGAUAUAAAUAUUUUAGAUGCAUGCGAUAUUGCCAGAAAUAAUUAUCAUAUGCUAAUUCAUGCAAGUCGAUCACUCAGAGAUAGAUUUUUUGUUUGUUAACCGGAAGUUUGGCAUUUCCCAAAUUUUUCACUUGAACUCAGAGUGUAUAUACUGCAUUUUCAGUGUGCGCUUAUGCACAGCGCCUUUCAGUGGAUGGAAACUAAAUAGAAAGGAUAGCCUUUAAAUUAAUUCGGGUGUUGUGCAUCAGGAUAAUUUUAGUGUGCGCUUACGCAAGCUUCGACAGGGAUAUGAUGUGUUUAAUUGAGUCCUUAGUUUGAGCUGUGUGUAUAACAUAGAAAUCAGUACCCUCGUUGCUUUCAACAUUCAUGCAUACACACAUAUCAUGCAUGUGUAUGAAGUGUGAGUUAGUAUUAGUAUUUUUUUAUUAACAAUGACAUAAAUAGAUAAUUUAUAAUCGGGUCGACUUUGGGAUAUUCUUUUAUAAUAGUAUAUGUAGUUAAUUUAUUUGCAUAUUUAUAUGUUUAUUUUAGGUUAUUUUAAAAAAAUAUAGAUGUAAAUUAAACAGAAAUUUAGGAAGGUUACUUUAGAUUAUCUUUACAGUGGCAUAGGUGCAUAAUUUAGAUGAAGAUAUGAGUUAAUUUAGUUAUUUUUUUAAUGGCGUAGAUGAGUAAUUUAGACAGAAAGUGAAGGGGUUACUUUAGAUUAUUUUCAUAAUGGGGUUUGAUGAUUUGAGUCUAUUAGAUUGAUUGUCCAAUGUUAUGGGGUUUAAUGAAAUUUUUAGGACUUAUCUUUUUUCUACACAUCUUUUGAGGGUGAAAGUGAAGGCUCAGGCUUUCAAUUAGUAAAUAGUAAUAUUAUAAGAUAAAGAAGGCAAGAAAACAAAGAAAUUACCAUGAACAUCGAGAACAAGUGGUGUGAUUGUUUGUUCACAUCAAGAACAAAUUGCCUCUACUGCUAGGAGUUCACUGGAGGAGAAUGUCAGCGUGUGCUCACAGUUGUUGCACCUAAUCAACUUCAGGUGACAGAAAUAUAUAUACAAGGCGUUGAAAAUUAAAUCAUAUCGCCUCUAUAAAAAUCUCAUUUAUAAUCCAUUUACAACUCUACAAAAUAGGAUAUGUAACGUACAAAACCGAUGUACGUGUACAGACGUAUAUGUGUAUGGAUCAUGGUUGUAUAUAUGUACAUGGUCGUACAUAAGCUGGCUCUCCAAUGUCAUUGCCGGCUGUCAUGCAGCCGCUGUAAAAGUGCAUGCAAUGCAGUCUCGCGUGCUCCGGCUGCCGCGGCCGUGGCGGGAGGCUCAGUGCCGCUGCCACCGUUAUUACCAUCUCCGGCGUCAGCGCCGGCGCCACCCCGGGGAGCUGCUUCAGCGCCUCCCCCCAUGAUCGUGGAGAGGGCGGCCGCCAGCGCCGUGGUGAAGUUGGGGUCGCUGGUGAUCGCGGCGGUCAUCGUCUCCAGCGCCGCCCGGUUCCUGCCAUCCAUCAUCCCCAGCGACACCGCCGUCGGCGGCUGCGGCAACAACGGCACGGCCGGCCUGUGCGCGGCAGCAGGGAAGCCGUACAUCGGGAACGGCAUCGCGGGGAGGGCCGGCGGGCGGUGCUGGAGGUGCAGGCCCGCGGCGGACGCCGGCGGCGAGUGGGUGAGGUCGAGGGUGAUGGUCGGGAACGGCGCGGAGGCGGAGAGCGUGGCGCCCAUGGCGGCGGACGCGUAGGGGUACGACUGGAAGAGCGGCGCCGGCGCCGUGGCCGCAACGUGGUGGCCGGCGAAGAGCGCGUCGCGGCUGGCGGCCGGGCCCGAGAGGAGCAUGGCGGCCGCGGCGGAGGUGGUCUUGGCCAUCGCGGCGGCCGCCGGCGGGAGCUGGUGGUUGUGGGUGCCCUCGUACGUGGUGAUGAGCACCGCCUUGUCCUCCGCGCACCGCUGCACCUGCGUAUUUUCACGCACACGUGUGUUCGGUUAGUUACUGACGACGUGCUCCUUUCUUCUUGCAUGCACGUAGAGUAGAGGCAUGGCAUCUCAUCAUCUCAUCUCUACUAGCUGCACAGUCGCGUGCAUAAAAGCCAAACACGUUGCAAGUUGCUUGGAGCCAUUUUUUUAGUGGGAGGCGGGGAGCUUCCUGCAGGUGAGAUGUCACGAUCUGUGCCGUUUGACCGUGGAAGAUCGAAAAGGUGCAGACGUACGUGUCCAGCCAUCCCAUUGAUCACGGCGUGUGCUACUAUAUGUUAUCUCUGUUUCCAUUGGUUAAUUCAAUUGGGGACAGGUCACAGGUUAGACAAAGAGGAAGAGACGGGUGACUAGUAGCUAAUAAGGUUCAAAUCAUUUUCUUGUUUAGCUAAGUAUAUAUACAUGUUGCAUAAUACCUGCUACUCUAGUUAGUAGGGUCACCCCGUUUAACUCAAAUCAAGUACACACCAGCAGCCUUUAAUUUGUUUGGCAUUUCCUUGACCAAUGCAAUUCAUGCAUAGCUAGGAAAAUAGGUCGUUUUGGUGGACCAGUCAUUGAAUAAGCUAACCAAAUGCAUAUAUAUCAUAAUAAUAAUUCUGGGCUUAGUUAAGGCCAAUUUUCAGGUUAACCAAGGGCCUACCCUCUUACCUUAUGAUAUGAUUUGUUUGUAUGAUAAUGAUAUUGGCACAUUAUCUUUCUUGAAAAAUAUAACGAUAUGGUUUAUAUGCAAACAAAAAAGAUAAGAAUCAUUUUUCUCUAAUUUUAUCUAUGGAUGAACCAAUUUACUAGUCAAGUGCUUGGAGAAAUAGUGCAAAAAUAUGUACCUGCUUCCUGACGGGACAUCCUGUGGCCAUUGUGCAUCGGUAGUAAGCUCUGGGGCAUGGGUUACCCUUUGCCAUCUUCUGCCCAUACUUCCUCCAUUGGCAACCAUCGCUGAUCUACAAGUACACAUACAUACAUUGAUCCCCAACAAGAUUGAGAAAAGAUGGCCCAAGAAUUUCAACACUGAUUAUAAAACUAAAGUGAAGGCAUAACUGGUGGUAGGAUUAAUUUGCCAAAACACAAACUCUCGACAGAGAAAGUUGCAGUUCAUUCAGGACUCAUUGACGACAUACCAUUGGGGCCUCCGAUCGUGCACGCACCGACACCCUGGCUCUCCGCAGCGGCGCCUCCGCCGCGGCAUUCUCGCCGCGCUCAGGCGUCCCCGCCGUCCCAUCCUGCUUGUUCUGAUCCGCUUCGCCGCCGCUGCCACUGCCACCAUCGGAAUCACCCCUAUCGCCGUCAAACGACGCCGGGGCCCCAGCUCUUAUCGCCGGGGCCAUGCGGGGGUCCAUGAAUUGCACUCCCGCCGGCAUUGUCGCCGGUAGCAUCGAGUUCGCCGAGCCGCUGGCCUGUAUCGAUCCAUCAAAAUUGUAAUGAACGCGUUGCUGAUGAUGUGUGUUACUUGUCAUGAUCAUUGGCAGUACGUAGCAAUCAGAUUAAAGGAGAGAUAUAAUUAAGACAGUAGAAAAAUGGAACAUAAGGAUGUACGACGGAAAUGCAUCGGGGUAAUGCAGACAUAAACACGCUAACAACCAUUAGUAAGUGUGGCUUUGUUCUCAAGCUUAAUUUGUUUUGGCACGGCCAAAGGUUCUUGCUAGGCCUGCUAGUGGGGCGGCGGCAAAUGGGGAUUUCGGGUCGGGUUCUUGCGUGGAGGUUCGUUUGCAUGGGUAGUAGCGGUAUUAGAGGCCAGCAGGUCGGGGCGGGGUGGGUCUGCUACAUUUGCGGGUUGGGGUGGGUUAGAACGGAUUUUGUUGACCUCGCGCAGCGGCUCACGAGGCACGGGGCACCUCGUGUCGACGCGUCCUUGCGCCCGCAAGAAGAAGGCGACACCACCGCCCGCCGCCGUCGCCACCACCCCUCCCGUGCGAGGUCCUCCUCCGAAGGCCACGGAUCGAGGUACUCCUUUUUCUCUCGGAACCACACCGGCAACAAUCAAGGUUGCGCCAACAGAUCCUAUUCCAGGAACCACACCGGCAUCAGGUCCCUUCGAGAAGUCAAGGUGUGCCUCCUUCCCUUUUCUCUCCAAUUCACUACGAUCUGUUUCUCUCCAACGGAAUGCAAAAUAUGUGUGUAUCUGCUCUAUUUCCAAUUCAAUACGAAUGGUCAAAUGCAAGUUAAUGAAGAAAAUUGGAUACUGUGCAUUCGACAAUCUUGCAAAAUAUGUGUGUAUCUGCUCAUCUGAUUUACACUUCUCAAAAGGUUUAGGUUGUUGUCACUGUUAGUGUUACUCUCAAUGAAAGAUUAUGGAUAUACAUUGUCAAAUAGUCAGCAGUUUACAGCAGAAGUAAAUCGGUGUGUUCUCUCUAAAUUAUUGGCUUGUAUAAAUAGGAUUAGUAUAGAAAUAGAAUAGCAUGACCUGACAUAAUUAUCCUUAUCUGUGUGCAGCCCAGGAGGGAGUUAGGGAACUUUGAGAAGCUCAAAUGGAUCCUAAAGGUACCCAACUAAUAUGAUAUUCUAUCAAUUGGGUGUUAUGAUCACUGAAAGUCUAAUGAACUAAUCAUGUAGCUAGGAUCAUCGCUGGUUAAUUUAUCAACUAAUCUGUAUAGUCUGAUGAACUAAUCAUGUAGCUAGGAUCAGCUUCUGCAGCUAAAAAAGUGCCUGUUAAGCCCCCGUUAGCAGGCCGAUAUGCCUGUGAAGUUUCUCAGUUGUGGUCAUGUCUAUUAUUUUUGGAUGUCGAUGGCAUUUGUUUUUGUUUCCGGAAAAGAUGUGCGCAGGACUACCAAUCUACAAGACUGUCACUUGGCAAUUGUUUUUGUUUUCGGAAAAGGAGGAUUUGGCUAUCUAAAGAAAUAUUUGUCUUGUCUUACACGAACUGCUACUAGGAUGCUGUCCGGAAAUACAUGUGCAGUGAUCCUGGCUAGUAGUUUCAGUUCACUGACAUGGUGUUUCAGUUCCAUCUCUGAAUCUUUUUGCAACAUUUCAGUCAUCUCUGAAUAUUUACUGCAGUGGUGCACUAACAUGCUGCACAUGUUAUACAUUUCCAGUAAUCCAAAGAGUUGACAAUAUUUUCUGCAUCUUGCAUAUAUCUGUCUGCAUGUCAUUGUUGUUAGUUUUUCUAAAUAAUAUGCUGGAUUUUUCUGUGUUUUCCUUUGCAUCUGCAGCCACCUGACAUAAUUAUGUUUCUGUCAUUGUUUGUGUGCAUUCCAGGAGGAGGAGUUUGAAGAAGCUCAAAUAGCUCUUAAAGGUACACAAAUAAUGUCCUGUGUGGAGUUGCUUAGUUAGCAGUCUGCUAUUGUUUUCUGUUUCACAAAUAAUCCAAUAUGAAACUAUCAUACAACACAUUGUGUUCCAUACUGAAUCUUUUCCUUUCAUUUUUUUAGAUCACUGAUUGAAGAAACUUUGCCUCUGUCUCUGCAAAUGUUCCAACAGCAAAAUUGGGGAACUUGGAUUAUGAAUAUUUUUGUUUAUGUACACUAGACAUUGAGUUCAAUUUGGAUGUUUAUUUAUGAGUCUGCCCAUGUCGUACUGUCAUGUGUCUUCCAUGCAUGUUAUCAUCUUUGUGCUUGCGCUCUCUUGUGUUCAUAUGUUCGCAAUGUGAUAUUGCACUUGCACGAGUUGUAUGUAUCUCCUGCGUAUUCCGAGUCUUGAGAUGUGAAAAUCGCAGUUUCUUAACAGUGCUAGUGGAACGGUGCUAGUGCAGGUGCUGCAAGCAAAAGGGCACCAAGCAACUGCAACCUAUUGCACCCGUGCUCGGUGGGGCGGGGUGGGGUGGGUAGACUAGUUAAAUAUAUGGGGUGGGGUGGGUCAGCAGAAUUGCCUUAUUAGGUGUGGCCCCCAUUAGCAGGUCUAGUUCUUGCGCGAUGGACCAUCUACAUGCAUAGUAGCACUGUGCUACUGUAUACAUAGCACGUAAACAUGUAUAAGACACAAACACCUCUCUCAGACACAUAGAUUUGAUUAGCGACCUAAUCAGGUGUUGAAAUUUUGUUUAUGAGUUUUAAUGCUCAAUAGUUGAACUCAAGUAAGCUCAACUAAUAACACGGGUGUCACUAAUAGAGAACUGAUCUUUCAUCUACCCGCUUUUGUCCCGGUUAAUAUUUGUCCCAGGAUAAAAGUAGCUUUAGUCCCGGGUCAAAAAUGUGCCCCCGAAGGCUACCACGGGGGGGGGGGGGGGGGUCACAACCGGGACUAAAGACCCCCCUUUUAUCCCGGUUAAAGGGCCCAACCCUUUUGUCCCGGUUGGUUGGAAUUACCAACCGCGACAAAAGGGGGGCCUUUUGUCCUGGUUGGUAAUUCCAACCGAGAUAAAAGGGGGGUCUUUUGUCCCGGUUGGAAACUCCAACUGGGAUAAAGGGGGGCUUUUAUCCCGGUUAGAAACUCCAACCGGGAUAAAACGCCCUCCCAUGCGCCCCCUCCCCACAUUAACUUGUCUCUCUCCUUUAAUUUUUCCUUCUCUCUCUCUCCUCCUUAUCUUCUCCACCACAGAUGCCUCCCCCUCACGCACAGUUCUCCUCUCCCUCUCCUCCUACUCCUUUCCCUCCCCUCCCUCCCUUCCUCUCCCGGCCCCUCCCCUCCCUCCCUUCCUCUCCCGACCCUCCCCUUCUGUUGCUCCUUUCCUUCCCCCUCUGUUGAUCCUUCCCUUCCCCCUCUGCUCGCCCCUCACUGGCAGUGAGGAGCGGCAGCGGGGCGAGGGCAGGGCGCGGCGUAGAGGUGGGGCGGCCGCCGGUGGUAAGGAUGGCAACGGGGCAGCUUCGGAUCGGGUGGAGUGUCUGAGCAUCCAAAACCGAAACCCGAACUUAAAACUUGAAUCCACACCGAACACCGAUUCGGGUAAAAAUCCAUCCCUGAAAUCGAAACCCGCAGAUACCCGAAACCUGAGAAUACACAUUGCUUGCAAAACCUACAGAUCAAAUUCGCCCCCUCUCUUCCGUGGGGAGAUCUGGCGACGGCGAUGCCACUGGGGGAUGGUGCAGCGGGGAUGGGAGCGGGGGACUUCGUGCUGCCGGACGAGGUUCUGGCGACCUGUACGAGCAGCUAGGUGCGGCGUGCGGGAGUCACGACCUGGAGGAAAGCAUCGAGCAGCCGAGCAAGAAGAUGACAGCCAGGGCCAUGGUGGAGCGCCGGGAGGCGAGAAGGAGGCCAAGCCUCGAGCAGCUCAUCAAGAUGGAGACAGCGCCACUACCGCUGUCGUCACGUCCAGGCCGCAGGAGCAAACUAGAUACGACAUCCGAGGUCUCCAUUCGCACCACCGCGAAGGAGAAGCACACGCAGGAGCUGUUCUUCCCACCUAAAAGCCUGGUAGUUUCCAUCUCCGACGAUGAGUGGCGCGCCGCGGCCGUCAAGUCUGACGUCGACGACGACCGGCGGACGAACGCGAAGAGGCCUUGAGGAAAAUGGCGGGGUGCGAGCGGCGAGGCGGAGCGGGCGGCAGAGGAGUGGGUGGCGGGGCGGAGGAGCAGGAGGCAGGCGUGGCUGGGUGUGACCUGCGGCGUGCCACGUGAAGGAGACCGGGAGUCGCGGCCUCGCGGGACGGCGGGAUGAAGGGGGUGCCUGGGUGCGGGACGGACUGACGGAGGGCCUUAUGUACCUAGGUUUGCUAGGUGGGUUUUUAGUGGACUCAAUAUUUCAGGGCCCCGAUGGAGCUCCACUGGUGGAUUUAAAAAUCCACACCAAACCCGCAGUAUUUUGGGUAUCCGAACCUGAAAACUGUGGGCGAAAACUAGAAACCAAAACCUGCGGACCCGAAACCCGCAGAUAUCUGCCCCAAACCCGAUCCGCUACCAUCCUUAGCCGGCGGGCAGUCGCACGAGCGGAGGUGGGGCGGCGGCCGGCGGCGGAGGUGGGCCGGUCUGGGAGGCGCGGGGAGGAGCCGCUGGCGGGGAGGAGGAGGCUGGGGAGGAGCGGCAUGGUGCGGCUGGCGGGGAGGAGGCCGGCGGGGUGGAGGGUGGAGGCGAGUGGCGUGGGGGAGGACGCGGCCGGCGGAGAUGGCGCGGGCGGUGCACGGGCGGCGGAGGCCGGUGGUGCGGGAGCCGAGGCAGGCCUCCACCCGUCGGUCCUUUUUUUUUUGAAAAACUCUUUUGUCCUUAUUGGUAAAACCAACCGGGACUAAAGGGUGUCUUUGGUCCUGGUUGAGCGAUCCGGGACUAAAGAUCCUUCCUUCUGUCUCGAUUGUUUUAUUCCGGAUGGAUUUCGGAAGAUUUGACCCCUACCAACCGGGAUUAAAGGCGAGUUUUCUACCAGUGUGUGUUCGGUGGUCACGCGCAGAAAUGAGGUGCCAUAUAUCGUCUGAACAAUGUGUGAAUGCAGCCUUCGACAAUAUAAACUAAAUAGCAGUAUAUAUAGUAGACGUAUAUAUGAUUUAGGUAAUGCUGGCAAUGUGUGAAUGCACAAUUUGAGAUACACCGGCACGGUCCCUACUGCAUAUUUCUGCAACUUCAUUCACUGGUUGUCUGCAUAAAAAGUUGGUUUGGUUGCAUAGAGCAAGAAGAACGUAACUGAAAUUUGAGUAAUCAGAUGGAUGUAAAGAAAAUGGGAAUCAGAUAGGUUGGGUGUCAAUUCAUACGGACGCACGGGUUUCUAGGAGCAGAUUAUGUGUGAAAUUAAUAAAGUACCAGUCCCGCUUCGCUGGCUGCUGCUUUCACGAGAUACUAGAUAUUCAGGAGAUCUUAAUAUUUUAUUUGGUAACAUGAAAGUACAACGUUGACUAGCUAGGUUCCAACUACGACGCAGGUAGCCAUUUCUUUUGGACUUUGAACACGAAUUAAGCCAAGAAAGUACAGGUCGCAAUUAAUCAAAGAGACAUUAUGAAUGGCAAAGCUGCUGAUGAGAUGGUAGCAACGAGAUGCAAGGGCUUGGUAAGUUCAGUUUAGUUUACCUGUUGGUGCUGCUGGGCUUGGAUGAGCUGAUGGUACAGCGCGCUGUGGCUGCGGGUGAGGUCGUCCAGCAUCCGCCGCAGCCGCCGGUUCUCCUCGCCGGCCUGCCGGAGCUCCCCCUCCACCGUCGCCACAGCCAUCUGCAGGCAUAUAUAUGUGUAAAGAGGAUCAACAUGUGUGUGUAGUACAACGAUAUAUAUAUAUAAUUCUGAUAUGAUGUGGAAGAACAUUAAGGGAGAAGCCUACCUGUUUAUUAUGAUCACUCGCUGCUCCGGCCGCCGCCCCCUCGCCGGCGUUGACCGGCGUCGCCGCCGCCGUGGUCAGCAGGUCAAGAGCAGUCUGCAAGAACCCAAGGACACGCAAACCGGCACCAAAAAAAAAUCAAGCUCAUACAUGUAUCGAUCUAAUGGCCGUCUUAAUUACGCACGCAGACAUCAAUCUCAAGCUCAUCUGGAUCGGAGACUUACGUUGACCGUGGUAUUACCGCGUCCUAGUGCUCCUGCCUCUCGGCUUCUUCCAUCCCUACCGUUGCCGUCAUCGUCGUUCCGACGGUGAGCGCCGCCGGUGGAGAAGAAGUCGACCUCCUUGAUCUCGCUCCUGCGCCUGCCGCCGCCGGCGUGGCCGAAGGCCUGGUCUCCAUGCUCCGCCAAGAUCAUGGCCUCCUCCUUAUCUUCCUCCUCCUUGUGCUGCUCUUGCUUUGGCACCAAGUCCAUGGAUGGAUUGGAGGUAUCAAGCCGGAGAAUGGAGAGGACGAGAAGGCUAUAUACAAUUUUUGUGGCUUGUGGCCGUACUAGCUAGCUACAAGCUAGGGAAGAGAGAGAAAGAGACGAUGAGAUAGCGAAAGAGACGAUGAGAGAGAGAGAGAGAGAGAGAGAGAGAGAGAGAGAGAGAGAGAUGCCCAACUGUGCAAGCUACAAAAGAAGCACGUAACGUGAAACGGAAAGACUUGGACUUUGGACUUGCGAAUGGAGACGGGACGGCAGGAGGAGUUGGACCAAUGGGAGGGGGUUGGAACUGGUGGGCCAGCCCCGUGGCGUCAGCGUGAGAGGUGGCUGAGGCUGGAGGCCACGCAGUCCACGUGUCGCUGCGCGUGGGCCGUGUCAAUGGGGUCAACGGAUGCUGUGUUUUGCGACUCGGGGAGUGGCAGAGAGGAGGCCACGACCCAUGCAUCUCGAUCUGUCAACAUUUUCAACUUAUACUGGUUGGGUUUUUGUACAGCUUGUGUCCUUUUUAUACAUAUUGGCAAUUGAAAUUUAGGUCUCUUGACAACUCGAUCAUGGUGUGGAUUCAAUACAAGCUCCAUGGAGUGCGGUCUCUAAAAGCCGUUUGCUGAGGGCACAGAUCUUGGUUUGAUACGCUAAUCCUCAAAUAAAGCAUUUUCAAGAUUUUGGUGUCAAAGCUCAUAUAAGAGAAGGAUUUUUAGGGUUUUGUUCCAUCGUCACAAACUCAUCGCACAUAUUGGUUAAUUUGGAGAGCAGAAAUUAAACCAAAUAGUGAGUACUGAGUAGCUAGCUACCACUAGUAUUUCUCCCGUCCCAUUUCGAGACCAAUUGAUUUUGUUGUAGGCUAGCAAUGCAGUUGGCUCUAUGUCCAUGUGCUCGUAAAGACAACCCAACGUCAUCAUUAUAUUGGUUUGUAAAAAGGCCACCUGUAUGUAGUUUCACAUUUAUACUUGCCAGACAAAAUAGAGGUGGACUUAUAUAGUGACACACAUAUUUUUCAGCCAUCACGACUAUCUAUCUAUCAUCUUAAUACAAUAGUGUUAAAAGAAGUCACCACGUUCGUCAAGAGGGUCUAGAAAUUCCCACGUUAAUCGAAAAAGAGAAGAAUAUGCAUCGUUGGAUUGAAAAUCUAACUGUCUUAGAUUAACUCAAAGAGUCCAUGUGGGAUACAAUUAAUUAGAGAUAUAUAUAUUAAAUUGCUAUAAUCGAAAACACAUGGAGAUACAAGUCUUUAUUGAUUUAAUUUUGGUUCUUCUCUAUUAGGAAAUAAACUUUCCAAAAAAAAACCUCGCCACUUAUGCAAGGAAAGAAAGCAAAAGAAACACUUCUUAUGCGGUACAGUAGUCAUCUAACUCGCCGGUCGCCGCGAUCGUCCAAGGCGAUCAACUUCGGCGUCCUUCGCACAAGCCUACCCGAUCGAUGAUCCCGCAAGGCCGUGUCCUUGAGGCUGCCGAGACGCACUACCUAUGCACGGUCGCCACUCUCUCCGUAUCGUGACAACCGCCUCCAAAGCACUCCCGUCGAUGCUGCUCCACCGGCUGUCUCCUACAACGAUGCUCCACUGACAACGAAAACUCCGUGGAAGGAUAUAUGCAAAUCUAAAAACGAGGGCUUCAAAAUAUUAGCGUUGGCAUGCUGUCCUUGGCGUUGUAUGUGAUACUAGCAAAUAAAAGCAAUGGAAGUGCUGUGGAGAUGGAUAAUUCUGGUAAAGAAAGCGGUAUUUAAGCACUAACAAGCUGGAAACAGCAGAGUAAGAGAGUGCCCACUCGAGUAGAUGGCUACAUUGACAAGUUCUACUUCUCGAACUAAAACAAAUGGGCUUCUAUGGCAAGAAAUUUAGGGGACGAGGACGUCCCAACUGGAUGUGACUGGACAAAUUUAUUCUGAGAAAGAUAUAAUAUGAGCAACAAUCGGAAAGAUACGUAAGAAACAAUUCAUCAUUGAUUAUCUAGAAAUAAGACAAUAUCUUAAGAAAAUAUUCAGGCACUCUAUAUAUCGUGAUGAGUUGAUAUAUAUGAUAGUCAUAGAAGUAAACUAUAAGUGAUCUAUUACUCCUUUUUCGAAAGGUCACCUAUUAUGUCAAUAUUGUUGUAGGUAGAAGCCACCACGUGUACUCUUAAGGGUUUGAAAUUUCCAAGUUAAUUUGAAAAAUAAAAGAACCUAAAAUGUUGGUUUUUAUGAUCAUCUAACUGCCUACGACAGAUAAAGUUGAUUAAACCAAAUUUUUAUGAAGAUCUUCAUAAAGGACCUUUGGUUUAAUCUAAUUUCCAAUUCCAUAUUUAAGUGAUAUAUUAAUGGAUUUGAUAUGGACCUUUGGUUUAAUCUAACUGCCUACUCCUAAGUUAUAUAUUAUGUCUUCAUAUUUCCAAGUUUAUGAAGAUCUAAAGGUCUAGAUUAAUCUAAAGAGACCACAUCGUAUAAGACAGAUAAAUAUUUAAAUUCAAAAUUAAAAAUAUUAUCUACGAAAUAUGAUAUGGGAUGGUUUUAAACCUACAUGGACUCAACCUGCUACAUUGAUAAGAUAUUGCAGGGAUAGGAAAAAAAUGUGUUUGGAAAUAAAUCAUAUCUCAAUUAGAGAAGAGUCGGAGUAAUAAAACAAAUUUCUAAAUAUUUUUAUUUGCUUUUGCGUACGUAUCGCAUCCUUGCAUGAUUGAGGCAUUCCAAUCUAUUCUUUUUACUUCUACGUACCAAACACCUUUUCUUUUUUAGCAAAACAAAACAAAAAAUAAACUAGCCGCAAGCAAUUUUUCUUAUUUCUCUAUUUUCUCUUGCAUUGUCCUUCAGUAUAAUCUAUUAUUAUCUCAAUACCCUAGCAUGAAGAGGUCAUCAUGUUCACCAAGAGGGUUAAGAAAUUAUUAUAUUAAUAAAAUAUAAUAUAUAGAUAAUUGGAUUUUAUGGCUGUAGUGCUUAGUAUUAGAGAAGAGAACCCAUUUACCAAACUCAUUCAAUUUUAAGGCAAAUAGGCCAUGGAGCUUUUGUGACGAUACCAUACCCAACUCCUUGUGGACUUUAGUCGGCAUCUUAGGGCUGCAAGAUAGAAGAGCGGAGGCAUAUACGUAGGACGACACCAGAGGCAUGGUGCAUAAAUCGAACAACGGAAGUGUGGAUGUCGGUAGCAACAACUUGCGUGUGCUAACUUCAUGCAACACUGAGGGUCAGAACCUCCUGAUGGACUUUAGUCGCUAGCUUAGGGCCACGAGAUAGUACGUCGGGCGAAGCAAAAGCAUAGUGCAUAAAUUGAACACCAGAAGCAUGGAUGUUGGCAGCAACAACUUGCACCAUGGAUGCUUGCUUUUUUUUAAGCCUCUCAUCUAGGUACAACUAUAGUAUCUGUUCAUGGAUGCUUGCUAACUUCAUACAACAUACAAAGCUAGAAUAUGCAAAGCCACUUCUUUGCAAGUAACUAAAAACCAUGGUGCACGUGAAAUAUUAGAAGGAGAAAGAAACAAAUAACGGAUCCUAGAGACAAAAUCACCGUGAAAGAGGGCCUGCGCACAAUAGUAAUAGCGAGGAAUCCACAUGGACAUAUAUAAGGAUAUGUGAGAAUAAGAACCCUUGAGAAACAUGGUGGUCGUCCGAUAAUGAGGUCACCACACAUGACCUGACACAAUUCUCAUCACGACAACCAUAAUCACUAGAGGCAGCUAGAGAGAGAGGUAGGAAGAUAGAGGGAGGGAGGGGGAGAGAGAGGGAUGACCCUGGAUCUCGAUUUGACCAAUCAUAUUGAUCUUCCCUCACUGCAACUGGAUUUACGUGUAUCACUUAACUCCGAUGGCGAGUAGGGCUAGCAGUUAGAGCCAUACUAAUCAGUGUAAAUUCGCACCCGCCUAAUGGUCGUCUAUCCUCCAAAAUCCAACAAUCGUAGUUGUUGCUGAUGAUCAAAAUAGGGUGAUAGUGGGAGACAUAGAGAACUGUCGGGAUACGAGGUAGGCUACGCUAGCGCAAAUCAAAAUUUCUACCGCGUAUAACCAGGAAGAACUGCCGUAUAAGGAUCACGGGAUUACCACUCGACGCACUACUGGUGCGGAAGAUGUAGAUAUGCGUCGGUGCAGUGAAGACGAUCACGUAGUCGUACGUAGUCGAACAACGUAGUCGUACGUAGUCGAUCACGUCCAGCGGCUCCUCAGCAGCUCGUCCACGUGCACAGCAAGAUCGCCUCCGGUGCCGCGGCUCGUCGUCGGCUCGUCGUGGCUCGUCGGCGGCUCGUCGGCGGCUCGUCCAAGUGCUGCAGGCGCAACACCUCCAAGGUAUCCACACGUGCAGGGAGGAAGCGUCGCAAGCCGGAUUGCUAGAUCCGCGAGUUGCAACGGGCGAGGGCGUGGGAGGCGCGGCAAGAGUGUUCAGCCAAAAGGUGUAAAACCCUAGGGCGCCCCCACCCCUCUAUUUAUAGGGGUUCCUGAUGGGCCUCUGGAUCCGAGGCCCAUUAGUACUCCUAAACCUAAUCCAACUCGGAUCAAAUCCGAAUUGGGCUUCCAGCCCCUUAAGUGUGCGACCCUUUGGGUUCGGAUACGUAUAGACAUGGCCCGAGUACUCCUACUCGGCCCAAUAGUCGGUAGCGGCCUCUAGCAAGACGUGCCAACUCCUAUACGCACACGAAGAUCAUAUCAGACGAACCAUCACAACAUAAUAUACAUGCUAUUCCCUUUGCCUCACGAUAUUUGGUCUAGCUUCAAGCCGACCGCUCUUUCUCGAUCCUGUGAUUCGGAAUCCCUUUGUAGGUUAACUCUUAACCGUACGUAGCAUGGCCAUGCAUUUUCUGAUCCGAUCACUCGAGGGGCCCAGAGAUAUCACUCUCAAUCAGAGAGGGGCAAAUCCCAUCUUGAUUGACCAUGUCUCAUAGCAUGCUUCUUGACAAACCCGAAAGCUACCUUUAUAACUACCCUAUUACGGCGUAGCGUUUGAUAGCCCCUAAGUAGGUCAAUCCACAUCUAGAAUACAUGCGACAAUCUCAGGUCUAAGGACAAAGCGUAUAUGUUGUUUAAAGAGAGAACUACUUCUCGUGUUGGGUCAGUCCUAACACAUGUCUCCACAUGUGUCCACAUUAUUAGUUCAACAUCUCCAUGUCCAUGACUUGUGAAACAUAGUCAUCAACUAAUACAUGUGCUAAUCUAAUAUUCAUGUGUGUCCUCACAUGAACUCCGACUAGGGACAACUUUAGAAUAACCAUACAAGUAAAGAGUUUCACAUACAAUUCACAUAAUUGCAAAUCAAUUCAAGUAGCCUUUAAUGGAUAUUCAAUGAACACAAUAUACAAAUCAUGGAUACAAAUGGAAUAUCAUCAUCUCUAUGAUUGCCUCUAGGGCAUACCUCCAACAAGAACACCAUGUGGAUGGAGUAGCUAUUGGAUCCCGCAGCAGAGCAAUAGAUCUGGUACAUGAUGGGGCAACUUGAGGGUAGGGGCAGCCAUAAGGUGGACAUUCAAAAUGUUGGAGAGGGAUGUGGAGGAUAAAGGAAGCGAGACAACCAACAUAUGCAAGGGCUUAUGAGGCAACGUUGUGUACAAGAGGGUAGGAUGUUUGAAGAGUAUCUUGGCCUCCUUAAGUGGAUUUUGAUGAUUUAACGAUGCAAGCUUAAGUGUCUAACAAAGUUUCAAGUGCAUAAGCAGGUUUAAAAGGAUUAUUGGUCAUGAAGCACUUGUGAUGGACCCCUCAGAAGGAAAUAAAAUUAUUAAACAGCAUAUUCUCAAGUCUAAAUUUAUUUUUGGUUUGAAUUUGAGUAUAGGAAUGCCGCACUAUUAAGAGGGAUGCGUGAUCUCUGGUCUUUACGUUGAAAAAGUGCUCAAAAUGACCUAACAAACCUAUCAGAGACACCCUUUGCACCUGCACAUCACAUGGGGAUACUUAGUGGUGCUAACCUGAGAGUUCUGGAAUUUUCCAGAGGUUUUUCUGGAAUAUUUCAGAGGUUCAGAGUUUUUGGAGGUCCGGAUUUUUUUGGAAAGUUUUCUGAAAAAUUCCGAAGGUUCCGGAAGUUUUCAAAGAAAGUUUCGGAAAUUUCUGGAACUUAACCCCAACGGCUAGUUUCGGGAUGAAGGGGUAUAAAUACCCCCUCACCCCCUCCCAUUCACUCUCUCUUGCCUCCUCACUGUCCUGAAAGCUCAGAAAGCAUUCACUCCCCUCUUGGCCUUAGGUGAAGAUUUGGUGGGGGAUUUAAGGAGGGAUUUUUGAGAGAGCAAGGGAGUGUGCUAGUGAGCUGAAACUCCAUCUCUUGAGCACCUUUGUUCUUCGUCAAGCUGGCGUUCCGCAUUUGUUACUCUUGGAGCUUCAAGCUCCUAGCCAGCUAGGUGUUGCUCGGUUGAGCAUCCAAGCUUUGUGGCUGCCUCGGGAAGUUUGUAUUGCCCCGACGAUUGAGUAAGUGACUCUACCUCGAUCUUUGUGGUCACUAGAGGGAGGAAAGUGGUUUAGGAGUGAAAAGCUCACCCUUCGUGGGUCCUCAAAGGAGACGUAGGCUUCAAGGUGUGAAGCUGAACUCCGGAAAAUAAAUUCCUGUGUCUCUUGGGCUUGUUGUUCUUAAUUUCAUUCAUAUUCAAGCAUAGAACAUUUUUCUAGGGUUCGUACUCGAUCUACUUUUCUAGCAAGUUUGGAGCUGUGCUAUCUUAUGUUAAAGGCUUAGAAUAACUUGUUGAACAACCUAUAUUCGUCGAUCUACUUUUCAGCAAGUUUAUCUUGAGGUUGUAGUUGAUUUCUGUCAAAGUCCGGAAAUAUACGAAGAUGUCUUCGGAAAUUUCCGAAGGUUAGAAAUUUCCGAAACAAUCUCUAGAAAUUUCCGGAAGUUGUUGAUAAGUUUGUUCGAAAGUGUAAAAAUUUUCAAGUUCGACUAUUCACCCCCUCUAGUUGACAUCCUAGAUCCUUUCAAUGUUGCAGUUGAUGGUGUCAUGGAGAUGAGAUGCCACAUAGAGGAGGUGUGCAACCACAUCCACGUGCAUGGACUACGAGAUGAGACACAUGGACAUAUAAAUAGAUGGAUACCUGAAUUUGGCAGCAAGAAGCAGCUUGAAAGUGUCAAAGUUGUGGCUUUCACCGAUUGCCUUAACACUACUAAAAAAGGUUUUGUUGUGCCGGUUGAAACAUCAUUUACAGGGGUGGGUGCAUGGCCCACUUCUGCUUUUUGCAGCUAAAAUACCUGUUUGCAGCAGCGGACCAUUGACCGUCCCUCCUAAAGCCAUUUUCAGAGCGGAUCACUCCAUGGAUCGGCCAUGCACAUGAUUCUUCAGGGGUGGGCCAGAAGCUAUAUCAACCUCUCCUUUUUUAGGAGUGGGUGAACUUAUUUGCAUCCAUUUAUUUUGAAAUAAUACAUCCAAAUAUUGGAUCAAAUCUUACUACCCACGUAAAUAAAUAUAUUUUAGCAAAAAUGUAUAAAUAUUUAUAUUACUUCAGUAAAUAUCAAAAAGAUUUUUAUAUCAUAUAUCCCUUUUCUCCUGAAAGACACGCAUUGAGAAUAUGAAAAUUAAAAAACAUAGAUGAUAGCUUAGUCAGCUACAAUGAUACGAUUAACACAAAUAUUUAUAUCUCUUUAUUUUAAAAUAAAAUAUCAAAAAUUUAGCAUAAAAAAUGUAGCUACGCACGCUAUUUGUGCGGGCCACCUUGCUAGUUAUACAUUAUCUAGCCGUAGCAAAUUUGUGGAGAAUUGAGAAAGAAACACAAGGAAGACCGAGAUAGCCGGCCAUUGGGGCUGGCUUGAUUAACUAGCUGGUCAAUGGCCACCAUCAGCUACUUGACAAUGUGCAUAAUCAAACAGGACCGGACGGACCCUUUCAACGUAGACUUAACAUGCAAAAAUCCGCUAGAGUUGGCUUAUUCCUACAAGCCACCUAGAUGCUGUUUCCUUGGUCGAUUACCAUGUGAAUGCCUGAGAUUAGCGAAUAAACGGUAGCUUGUACAUUCUCCAUCCACGCACGUUGACAAUGUAGCCGUCGACGUUACUUGUCUGCUAGCUAAUCUUAUGGUUAUUUAAAUUUCUAUCCCUGGGGAGUAUGUAUGAACCAAACCCUAUAAUGCUUAUUAUGUUACACGCAAAAUAUCUGAGUUUUUAGGCAAACUGGUUGACCCCAACUUUUCUCCCAAGUUCCGGCGCCAUUAUUCUAAAAGAGCAAAACCUAGCCUCCCCGUGGCCCCCACCACCCCAACAAUACCUCAUGUCCAAUUUCCUUGGGUUCAGUUGUAUGGAAACCGGUUUUUUUGCAAUUGGUUGUACCCCCUUUUCUAGGCUGUGCCAAGCUGUCAGGGAAACUAAUUCAAUUUACCUACUAUAUUGAACCAUGAAAACUUCCAAGGAAAAGGUUAUAUAUCCUAGAGGCUGACUGGCAAAGAUAUUCCCUGAAUAAUAACCUAGUUUCCUUGACGUGGCUGCCCGGAAAAGCCGUCAAGAAAAUUUCCGUUAGUGACCAGCACCAAGAAAACUAAAUUUCAUUGCCCCUCUAUCGAUCCGUGAGGGUAUUUGCUUGCUUGGCUUCCAUGUGAAAACUUUCUUUGGCAGUUUUGCUAACAUACGUGGCAGGUUUUUACCCUCACCAAAAAAAAAUAUUUAUGUUUCCUGGUAGUGCCUAAACGGAGAGGCAGCAUGUAAUUGGCAACACAAUGCAACUUGAACUUUUCUAGAUCAACCACCCGUGUAUUAUUCUACCUUACGAGAGGAAUUUCGUGUGGUAGCUACUCCAGAGAAAGAAAAUAACUCCUUCUCAUCUGUUUCGUGAGGGGAGUGUUGGUUUCGAGCAACCUCUCCACCGAACAAUUAAAUGAAAAAAAGAUACACCAAUUAACAACGACACUGCAAAGCAAAGGUGUAAUAUGUAGGAGGUGCCACCCUAUUUAUAUGUAGGGUGGUAAAGGACCUUUAAUUUAGCCUAACAAAUUUAAGGAUCGGGUUUCAUAAGGGCUAGAACAUAAUAAUAUACUCAUCCAUCCCAAAUUAUAAGUCAUUCCAAUAAUCUUGGAGAGUCAAAGUAUCUCAAGUUUGACCAAAUUUAUAUGAUAAUAUAAUAACAUUUAUGAUGUCAUCUAAGUAUCAUUAGAUUCUUCAUCAAUUAUAUUUUCAUAGUAUACCUAUUUGAUGUCAUAAAUCUUUAUAAUUUUCUCUAUAAUUUUGGUCAAACUUGAGAUGCUUUGACUCUCCAAGAUUCUUGGAAUGACUUAUAAUUUGGGAUGGAGGAAGUAUGAUUUUGAACUAAAAAUAGAUAGAGCUAGGUUGGAUUGUGAAGGAUGCAUGAGGGCCAUGAUCCAUUAGCACCUUACGGUGGAGGUGCCACCCAAUUUAUAUGUAGGAGGUUUCAUUUCGUAUCCCCAAAAUGCACGUGUUUACCUACUAUAUAUUCUUGGAAUAUACCUUAGAAAAAGGUAAAAAAUGUGUACAAAUUCGACUUGUAUUCCUCUAUAGGGACACGUCUUUCACGCCACUCCCUGGUGACCUUCAGCGCCGCCGACAACUUCAUCAUCUCCAGCACCUCAACCAUGGCGUUAGGUUAUUCCCUUACAAAGGUGGUGUGGGCAUCUGCCUGGGUCAGCUAUUCGCCCAUUACCUGUAACGCCUUGCACACAGAAGAAGGAACAAAACACACAUAGUCGUAUGUACGAAGGUAAUUGGGAUGCGCCUACGAAGGUUAACUACAAUGGCAAUGGUUGCCUAAGAAGGUAAUUGACCUGCGCCGAUCCAAUCCAAUGAGCGAUUGUGCGGUCUUAUUAGUUGUCUCCCUGUUGCGCGAAAAUGAAAACCAUGGAAAAAGGCGCUCGACUGCAACCUUAUGGUUAAGAAUUUGCAAGUAGUAGCUAAUAAGAAUGCAAACAUGGGUAUACAUGAGCGUGAUCAAACUUACCUUUGCAGUAUAUAUACUAUAAAAGUUGACAUAAAGUGUACCACCAUGGUCACUAAUUUCCAAACUUUCAUGUCACGUGAUGCACGAAUGUAAUGCAUCCAAUGAAACUAUAAGUUGACAAGUGGUGGCAAAUUAUCUGCAGAUCCUGGUCGCAACAAAAUAUUGAGAAACACAGAUUCAUAUAUUAUAUAUCCACAUGAACAAGACUUGUUCGGCAAACCACUCUAGCCAGCAUUUCCUGCUAUAUCUAGUGUAAAAAGGGGCUCGAAUUAGGCAAAGGUGGUAAAGAAAUUCAAGUACGGAGAGAUCUGAUCUGCGCAGAAUUGUCGUCCUCCAAGAUCAAGCCCUAGCUAGCCUCUAACAAGUCCAAGCUAAGCGGCGAAUGAAGUCAAGAGUGCAAGCAAGACGUCUUCUGCCUCAUGCAGCAUGUGCUUUAUUAUAUGCAGGCUACAGUUGUUUAUAGUUUCAAAAGGAAUGCCUGCCGGAGAUGUAGUAUGGUCAUCGAUCCAGAACCAGAACCAUACAAGGGCAUGAGACACGGGAAGGAUCAACCGAGGUCGUCGCGAGGUCGCAAACGACGACGGAAUUGGGGUCAAUAACAAGAAGCUAAGUAACCACACAUGCUGCCAGGGAAAGAGAAAGGCAUAAAGGAGGGGAGGGCCCUAAAGGUGAAAGCAACAGGAGGCCUGGCCGGGAGAAAAAGGUGAUGGACAUGUGCAUGAGCACGACGUGUUGACAUGCACGUACGUGGAGAGAGAAAGCUUUAGAACUGAAAGGGAUCAACAAGCCAAGAACGAAGCUGCAAGAGGAGAGACCAAAACGUCCACCAAAGGUAGGUAGAGCUUCAGCCGGUAAAAGAUAGCGGCGCCCUGGCUUGCACUCCGGAGCCUGGACUUGGGCUGGUACUCGCAAUCAAGUUGCAACUGGUAGAUGUGGAUGCAAGAGGGUAAUAUCUCGAUCCGGUGAAAAAGCCAAAGGGAGAGAGACUUGUGUGGACCUAAGCUCUAGCGGUGGCGAUUGAGACUUUUGAGAAGGAAAUUAAGCUUUGGCUUAACUCUUAAGCGAGAGGGACCCAUAACUCACUAUUUCAACGACUUAAACGUUGCCGGCCAAAUUAAAGGACAUCGAGGUGGUGCAUUGGAAGGAUCAGCUAGUUAGUUAUAGAGAGCUAGGUGGUAUGUAUCUUUUGAUUUCAUCCGAGUUACUAGUUGGGAGAGCGACUAGCCGCGGUCGGACGUGGAAGUCUGGCGUAGGAUGGAUCCGCGCUGGGUAGUACAUAUAUUUGAUUGUGAUCUCCAAAUCAAGUGCAUUCAACUCAAAAUUUUAAGCUUAUGUACUUUCCCUGAGGCUUCAAACGUGGAAAUAGAAGUUGGCUACAAUUAUUUUAUUUAAUCGUGCCCUUCUAGAUUCGAACUUUGGAGCACGGCUGUUGGAGCAGGACUGGGUGGGAGCAUCAGGGCGGAUGAAGAGGUUAGUGUGGCAGUGGGAAGCGACGGUGAUUACUCACCUAUAAUUGUGAUAACUUCCCUAUAAUUGUGUUUUGUAAAAAAAAAUACUCACCUCUUCUUUUAUCUAAAAUAUUUUAAAUUAACCCCUAAGUCUACAUCUAAAUUACUCGCCUAUGUUCUUAUAAAAAUAGUAUGAAGUAAUAAUUAAGCACCAAAUUUGCAUGUAAAUAACUCACUUCCACCAUUAUUAAAAAUAACCUAAAUAACCUAAAGUAAUUCCCUAUAUUUGCAUCCAAAUUACUUUCCUAUGUCAUUAUCAAAAAACAUCCCAAAGUACUCGUAUAUAUGCUUUUAAAAUUAUCCCCUUUUGAUAAUGUUAAUAAGGAGAAAACUACCCCAAUGUGUAGAUGUAUGAUACACGUCACCAUGUAGGCCACUUGCCCGCGUACGUUAACUAUCAACAACAUAACUCAAAUAAUCAAAAUUUCAACUAAACAAAACAAACACUAAUAUAUAGAGAGGCGUUAUGCAAAGGGGGAAGUAACUAUGAAUGGGGUGGGAAAGCAUACAGAGUAAUCGUAACUAAAGUCUAUCACAGAUGGAUAGAGAUUACAUAGCAUACUUCUCUUGCGUAGGCUUACAUGUGUCUAAUCCAUAUUAUUGGCUCUAAAUUAAAUUCUUAUUUAUUAGGACCCUUCUAUAAUUCCUACCUCAAACAACUUAGCUUUUGAUCUAGAUUCUAUAAUCCAAAUUGCUCAGACUCCACAACACACUCUUUCUGUCUUUCAUCGUUUCUUGCCAUGGCACAUGUCCCAGCAUCCCACCCCAUCGAGUCAACAUGCAAUGAGUCAAGUGAGGGAAAGAUGCCAUGAGCUUUCGGACCUUGGCUUACUUAUUUUGAGAAUUGCUAGCUAAAAGAAACAUAGCUUAAUAAAAAAUAAUACCAUCUAGCUAGGACUCUUGUACAUUUCGACGCAUACUACGUAGAUGGUGUGCAAUUAGUACUUCAGCGGAAAGGAUAAGCUGACGAAAGAACCGUAUACGAUACGGUUCACCUAAUUUUCUCCCUAUGAAAACUUGUUGUCUUGUUAAUAACAAAGUCUACUCCAUAUUUUGGCCGUAUACUAACUGGCAAUGCCGACUAGGUGGUGGCGCUGGAGAACAAUAAUAUUCUUCCGACGAAGAUUGACAGAGAACCUCCUGGCCGAGGCCGACCUUGACAUGUAUGAUGACCGCGCCGCGUACCAGGUCACGCGCGCACAGAGAUGAUCAGGUCGUCGACGACGAUCGUCCGUCCAACCGUAUACAUCCAGAACCGGCGGAUAUUUCCGGUGGUCCAUCCAGUCCGGUGCGGUCACCGCCGUCGCCGUCGCCGGCUACUGGCGGCACGCAAAUGGACCGCGGGAUUAUCGGAAUCAGUUGAUCGGUCUCCAAGCUGGGAACGCGACGCCGUCGUGACUGACUGCUCGCGACGGGGGCUGAAAAACAUGGUGCUUGUUCCGGCACGGCGAUAGGUCAGGGCUCAGGAUUGGAACUUGGAAGAGGCGUCGUCAGCUAUUUCUUUCUAUUAGCUAGGACGACGAGAUAGAACGAGCGAAUUAGCUACGAGUACUGCUAGCUUAGCUACAGCUCAGGAUUGAAGCUUCCCCAUCGCCCACAUGGGUCGCGGUCGCUGUCGACCGGUGCUGCAGGCAAGUAUGCCGGCGUCCACGGCGUGAUCAUGCAUCCUCGUCUUCUCCAUCUCCUACGGUCCUAGCUACCCUCGAGCCUCCGGCUACAGUCGAGUUGUCAGAGUUUGUGGCUUGAUGUGGGCCAAUAACUCACUUCUUCUGCAAUAUAAUGCUGCCUCCAACUUUGACGAUCUUCCGCCGCCCCUGCAUUCUCGCGAUCCAUGAUCCCCGUGAACCACCGGCGGACGACGUACGGCAUCUCCGCUGCCGUCGGCCGUCUUCCUCGAUCUCUAACCCCAUCGUGGCUCCGCUAAUCCAAGCCUCUCUCAGGAUUGCCAACUGAUCGACUCUAGUGUCUGUAUCUCGUCACCGGUCACCGUACAUCCACGCACCAAUGAUCUAACAUGUGCAUUUCUUUUCUUUUUCUUUUCAGAUCUGCUACUGUAUGUAAGCCAGAAAGAACCCCAGCGCUGCUGUAAGUCCUGACUUUUGCUCUCCACUUGCCACGGCCCACGGCCCAUCCGUUUCAUCGGCAAUUCUUUUCUUUUGAGAGAAAAAAAACUUUCAUCGGAAAUCGGAGCAAGAUUCGAGACACGCGAAAGGAAGCUCAUUACAGUUCCUGGCAACGCAAUGCAAACAACCGUGGGCGCAGACACAACUGAAUCGCAUGAAGUUGAAGAAGACACACUUACACGAGCAAGCAACGAAAAGCACACAAGAUACUGCACGGCCGCCUCAACAGCCAGAACUCAGAGACGAUCCUUGCAGUGCUGCUUGAGGCUGAUAUCCCCGCACACCUGCUCGAACGCCUCCGGGACGAAGAAGACGGACCUGCUCACGAUAGAUUCCUUCACGAACCCGCAGACGCACCUCUCCCCGGACGCCACGCUGCCCCUGACGGUCCCGCAGCAAUCUCUAGGGAACAGCUCGCGCAGGUCGUCGCCGCCCCGUGCAUCGGAGCUAGGAGAUCCCCGAUGCAGAAGCUCAGCUCCGCCAGCGUAGGAUCGCGGGACGGGUCGCAGCCGCCGCCGGAUCAGCUGGGACGACGGCCAGCAGCAGCGCCGGGAGGGAGAGGACGACGGCUACCGCCGGAUCCGACAAGGCCAGAAGCUGCCGCCAUGAGUGCCAGCCGGCCGAUCUCGCUUGAUCUCGCUGCUGGACUGGGGGCGAGUGUGGGUGAUCCAGCCGGUCGCUAGCCUCGUGCCCAUUGAAUUUAUAGACACAUACGGAUCUGUCCUGCACUGUAUGUAGUACAUACCUACAGCCUGUUGAUAAUAUUUUUGCGCUUGUUCAAUUCGAUGCGCGCCUUCCAUUGAUCGAAUCGGAUUCGGAUCCUCCAGCAUCCCAUCUCAUGUGCUGUGCCUGCCUGGCGUGCGCUGAACAAAGGAACAGGAACAGUGGCUUGCAUGUUGCAUAUUAGUAAGAGCGCCAGGCCGGAUUGCGCUGACCAAAAGCCAUCAUCGCCUCCGAUAAUUAUUUGUCAGUUCAGGUGUUUUAAACUGGACGGGUGUGAUCCGGAUAAUCUUCAGUAAUCCAGUAGAAUCAACUGAACCAUCUCCUCUUUGAAACGAACCAGGAAGAAGAACUACCAAUUAUAUUAAAAACAAGAUGAAACCCUAGACAAAACAACAAAUGGAAAAAAACAACGCAAACACCGGUAGGUUGGAUUUGGGCAUCAACACAUGCCGGACCACGCCAUCACACUUAACUCAACUCAACGACACAUCGGUCGGCAGGAUUGGGACAUCAACACAUGCCGAGCAUAACUCCUGCCGCUGUGCGGCCUCCUAACGCUCCACCCCGUCGGAUUAGGAUAUCGACACAAGCCUCAGCUAAACUCCACCCGAUCGGAUUGGGUCAUCGACAUGAGCCUCAGCUAAACUCCGCCCGGUCGGAUUGGAUCAUCGACAUGAACCUCAGCUAAACUCCACCCGGUCGGAUUGGGUCAUCGACACGAGCCUCCAUAAUCUCUACCUGGUCAGAUUAGGACGUCGACACCAGCCACCACAUAACCAAGAUCAUCGACUGGAUCCUCCUCUUUUUGAUCUUUUUUCUUUUUCUUUUGAAGAAAGCAGAAAGAGAGGAAAAGAAAGAAAAAGCCCCCUCGGUAACCUUACCGUCGAAGCAAACCUUUCUACUAGAAUUGCCUGACAUCACGGUCACGACGCUGAAGACGUCGUCAAUACUAGCCCAAGCUCGGUUGGGUUUUCACCCACCUCAUCCGGCAGGAAAGGCCGGCGUCCAUGCCGACCUCACCAAACAGGAGCCAAGGUCCGCACGAGAGAUGCCCGACGUCGCUUUCAGGAAGGAUACGAUGCCAAUGGAGCCAUCGACGCCGUCCCAAGGAGGGUUAGGUUUUCACCCGCAUCGUCACAACAGUGCAAGAGACCGGCGCCUCUAGACCCACCACCAUGGUGAGCGCCUCUGCACGGCCGCAGCCAAUGAUACCACCAUGAUGGCGCUAGCAUGCGUCCGAGCAAGCCGUAGUCGGCCACACCACCCUGGUGUCGCCGACACACCACCACACCGGCCAAGCAGAUCGGAUCCGGGGCGGUCUGGUCGUUGGUGAUGGUGACCAAAGUGAGCAUCCCCACUGCCACCGGACAUAGCCGCUACCAUCUCCUGAUAGAGUUUUGACGAUUAGAUAAUGGAGGCUGAUGAUUAACGUAGAGUUGUUGUUGUGAUGUGGUACACAACCUCCAGGAAACAUCUCCACAAUUCUUUAGCAAAUACUGUAUGUUCAUAACCAUCAUUCGUAUCACAAGAGAAUUUUAACAAAAGUCUGCUCUGUAUCUUGUCCGUAUACCAACCGGCGAUGGCAACUGGGCUGAAGAGAACAAAUUUUCUUACGGUGAAGAUUUGACAAGCAGGAACUGGCCGACCUUGACAUGUUUGGUUUCGCCCCGUAUCAUGCAUGCGUGCAUGCAUUUUCUUACGCGAGACAGAGGCUCGAGAGCAUAGCUCUGCUCCAGCAGCUUCGUGUUUUUCAAUUUCUCAUCGGAGUCCCAUCACCUACCGACCCAUGCACGUUUUGCAGCUGCAGAGGUCUCCAUUUACCUUUCAUUAUUUCCAAUAAUUAUUGGAACAACUCAAUAAUUCACCCUAACUCUGAUUAUUGGGAGACUACAAAGUGAUAUUAGGAUAUCGGAAAACAUUUAUUGCGAGACUGAUGCUCUAACUGGGCCACCUAUUUCACCGCCGGGCUAAGUACGAAGCUGCAUUCGCGAAGGCCCAGACCACAAAAUCCAACAGCCCACGCAUAAACCGCAAGUUCCAUCCACUAUUCUGCGACGGCCCAUCCAACUCGGCCUCACACAACACAACCCACCCAUGAGCUCUCCACCUGCUCUCGUCUCUUCGCCGGCGGUGAGGCAGCUGCCGCCGUGGCGCCCUUUCCGCCGCCGUCUCGUCCCCAGACUUGCGUGCGCUUCCAGGACCUCCUGCGAGCUAGCACGUGGCGCCAGCGUGCGCUACCGCCAGCAGCCGCAGCCGCGCCUCGUGGCGGCGCAGUCGCAUCAUCCUCCCGCGCUUGCCGCCGUUGGCUCCGUCCGGAGGGACGCGGAGACGGGGCUCGCCCUACUCCUCCUCGUUCUCGCUGCGGUAUGACGCCUCUCCUUGUACCUGUAGCCUUUGGAUUUUGCUUUCGUUUUUUUGGUGCUGGGGAGUGGGGAGCGGUUGGUCCAGCAGUAAGCAGGCUGUUUGGUGCGAGCUCUUGGUUGGUUGAUAAAGAAACGAUUCUGUUUGUGAUACGUAGAUGUUAGGAAUAAAUUAUAUCAGUAAAUUUCAAGAUUGGCAAUAUCAAAGAGCAGGACAGGGUAAACGGCUACCGAUUUGUAACUGCUACGUGCACCUCAAGAGUCAAACUGUAUCUUUUGCCAGGAUAGAAAGAUAUGCGUGCAAGUUUACAGGAAUCAGUUCACUUCUUGCGGUAUGAACGGGGAAAAAUUCACGCCCCGGAAAUGGGCAACAAAUUUUAGGUUGGAGCUACAAAUUUUAAUCUCACUGUUGUUAUGAAUGGACGGUUCAAUUUUUGGGUGGUUUGUUCUAGUCACAAAUAGUCAUUAGUAACUGUAAAAGAAAGAGAAAUCAUCAUUUAAGUGAUUAGAGGAUAGCAAAAUGCAUGAUAGUGCUUGGUUAAAAUCAACUGUAGCUGCCGCAGCUGCCUGGACAGAACUUGAACCCAAUUUGAGUUGGGCAUUGUAAUUUCAUAUAAAUUCUGCAUUCAUCAUUAUCUACAAUAAAAUUUCAUCCUAAUCCUUGUGCAACCUGGAAUUUAGUCUACUCUGCUGACCCUAAUUUCAGGUGAUGAGCUGCUUUCUGUCACUGACUAUCUUAUCGUUUUCAGCAUGCAGAGUGAGUGAAUUAUCUAAAUAAUUAUAACUAUUUUUAUAAACAACGAGUAUGUGAAACAGAUUGCUUUUUCUUUUUUGAAUCAGGCUCUGCAUAAGUUGGAAACGGCAGCAAAUAAAUUGGCAAAACUAGUUGCAGAAGAGGCACCUGGAACUCUAUCUUUACUAAAGCUGUCCUUCUUGGAGGUCAAUGAUUUAACUAGCCAGCUAAAGAACCUUAGGUAAUACAUUUGAUAAGCUCUCCAAAGUUUAGCUGCGGAAUGGUGUUUAUAUUGUUUCUCCUUUUGCUUCUAUGCAGGAAGAGUCUCACAAUAAGUAGAUUUGGGAAGCAGGCUAGUACUAAAGCAAGUUCUCGGACUUGAUGGCCUAAACAGGGAAAUACAUGAAUUAAUCUGCAAGUGAAAUGUCAGUCCCAAAUCCUGAGUUUAUUCUUCCUCCUUAAAUUCUUGAUGAACUUAUACAUGCUUUCUCGCUGUAGUCCUGCACAUUUGCAUGAACAUGAAACAUCAUAAGCCUAUUGCAGUACCAAGUAGCUUCUGUUUGGGAAUUAUGCUGUGACGCAAGUAACAAAUUGUGCCCUGAGCCCAAAACUUUCCGCAAAGGAUUGACUUUGUUGACUAGGAGAUGUUUUGUUCCAUGUUUGUAAGAUGUACGUAAUAUGUAAUAAACAUGCCUUUACAACUUUGAUGACAAUUUCUUGAGGCCUUCUUCAAAGCUCUUCAUCUUUGGUGGGGUCGAUAGGUUGGCUAAUAAGGUAACCCUUGCUGUUGAGACCAGAUCUUUGCACUCUGAUGUGGAAGGAUCUAUCCUCCAUAUCUGGACCUCCCAAACCUUCAAGAAUGCAGAAAAUUUUAGAUUGAACGUUUGAGCUUUACUAAGGCCCCGUUUUCUUCCACUGACUUAUUUUUAGCACCCGUCACAUCAAAUGUUUAGAUACUAAUUAGGAGUAUUAAACGUAGACGAUUUAGUUAUCCCAUUCCAAAAGACUAACAUUUACGGCGAGACGAAGCUAUCAAACCAAUUUUGGCCUUUUUGGAACAUUAUGCAUUGACACUAAAUAUAGAUUAUGGUGCUGGAAUCAAGAAAGUAUUCUUGCCAAUAGAUGUGGAGCUUUCCCACCACUAGCUGGAUGCCGAAUUACUCUUUGGUGAGAAGAACCCAAUGGUCCCCUGUACAAUAUGUCCCUGCUAAUUACCGGGAAGAAAAAGGUAGUAAAGGAUUGAAAGCACCAGGUUCUAGUGUGGACUAUAUAUUUCAGCAUCGAACUGGAGAAACUGUUACAAUAUUGUUCAAAACAAGGAAGACGACUAUUCCUCUCAUCAAUACUUCCAACACUUAUGCUGCACGAUAUAGAUGANNNNNNNNNNNNNNNNNNNNNNNNNNNNNNNNNNNNNNNNNNNNNNNNNNNNNNNNNNNNNNNNNNNNNNNNNNNNNNNNNNNNNNNNNNNNNNNNNNNNNNNNNNNNNNNNNNNNNNNNNNNNNNNNNNNNNNNNNNNNNNNNNNNNNNNNNNNNNNNNNNNNNNNNNNNNNNNNNNNNNNNNNNNNNNNNNNNNNNNNNNNNNNNNNNNNNNNNNNNNNNNNNNNNNNNNNNNNNNNNNNNNNNNNNNNNNNNNNNNNNNNNNNNNNNNNNNNNNNNNNNNNNNNNNNNNNNNNNNNNNNNNNNNNNNNNNNNNNNNNNNNNNNNNNNNNNNNNNNNNNNNNNNNNNNNNNNNNNNNNNNNNNNNNNNNNNNNNNNNNNNNNNNNNNNNNNNNNNNNNNNNNNNNNNNNNNNNNNNNNNNNNNNNNNNNNNNNNNNNNNNNNNNNNNNNNNNNNNNNNNNNNNNNNNNNNNNNNNNNNNNNNNNNNNNNNNNNNNNNNNNNNNNNNNNNNNNNNNNNNNNNNNNNNNNNNNNNNNNNNNNNNNNNNNNNNNNNNNNNNNNNNNNNNNNNNNNNNNNNNNNNNNNNNNNNNNNNNNNNNNNNNNNNNNNNNNNNNNNNNNNNNNNNNNNNNNNNNNNNNNNNNNNNNNNNNNNNNNNNNNNNNNNNNNNNNNNNNNNNNNNNNNNNNNNNNNNNNNNNNNNNNNNNNNNNNNNNNNNNNNNNNNNNNNNNNNNNNNNNNNNNNNNNNNNNNNNNNNNNNNNNNNNNNNNNNNNNNNNNNNNNNNNNNNNNNNNNNNNNNNNNNNNNNNNNNNNNNNNNNNNNNNNNNNNNNNNNNNNNNNNNNNNNNNNNNNNNNNNNNNNNNNNNNNNNNNNNNNNNNNNNNNNNNNNNNNNNNNNNNNNNNNNNNNNNNNNNNNNNNNNNNNNNNNNNNNNNNNNNNNNNNNNNNNNNNNNNNNNNNNNNNNNNNNNNNNNNNNNNNNNNNNNNNNNNNNNNNNNNNNNNNNNNNNNNNNNNNNNNNNNNNNNNNNNNNNNNNNNNNNNNNNNNNNNNNNNNNNNNNNNNNNNNNNNNNNNNNNNNNNNNNNNNNNNNNNNNNNNNNNNNNNNNNNNNNNNNNNNNNNNNNNNNNNNNNNNNNNNNNNNNNNNNNNNNNNNNNNNNNNNNNNNNNNNNNNNNNNNNNNNNNNNNNNNNNNNNNNNNNNNNNNNNNNNNNNNNNNNNNNNNNNNNNNNNNNNNNNNNNNNNNNNNNNNNNNNNNNNNNNNNNNNNNNNNNNNNNNNNNNNNNNNNNNNNNNNNNNNNNNNNNNNNNNNNNNNNNNNNNNNNNNNNNNNNNNNNNNNNNNNNNNNNNNNNNNNNNNNNNNNNNNNNNNNNNNNNNNNNNNNNNNNNNNNNNNNNNNNNNNNNNNNNNNNNNNNNNNNNNNNNNNNNNNNNNNNNNNNNNNNNNNNNNNNNNNNNNNNNNNNNNNNNNNNNNNNNNNNNNNNNNNNNNNNNNNNNNNNNNNNNNNNNNNNNNNNNNNNNNNNNNNNNNNNNNNNNNNNNNNNNNNNNNNNNNNNNNNNNNNNNNNNNNNNNNNNNNNNNNNNNNNNNNNNNNNNNNNNNNNNNNNNNNNNNNNNNNNNNNNNNNNNNNNNNNNNNNNNNNNNNNNNNNNNNNNNNNNNNNNNNNNNNNNNNNNNNNNNNNNNNNNNNNNNNNNNNNNNNNNNNNNNNNNNNNNNNNNNNNNNNNNNNNNNNNNNNNNNNNNNNNNNNNNNNNNNNNNNNNNNNNNNNNNNNNNNNNNNNNNNNNNNNNNNNNNNNNNNNNNNNNNNNNNNNNNNNNNNNNNNNNNNNNNNNNNNNNNNNNNNNNNNNNNNNNNNNNNNNNNNNNNNNNNNNNNNNNNNNNNNNNNNNNNNNNNNNNNNNNNNNNNNNNNNNNNNNNNNNNNNNNNNNNNNNNNNNNNNNNNNNNNNNNNNNNNNNNNNNNNNNNNNNNNNNNNNNNNNNNNNNNNNNNNNNNNNNNNNNNNNNNNNNNNNNNNNNNNNNNNNNNNNNNNNNNNNNNNNNNNNNNNNNNNNNNNNNNNNNNNNNNNNNNNNNNNNNNNNNNNNNNNNNNNNNNNNNNNNNNNNNNNNNNNNNNNNNNNNNNNNNNNNNNNNNNNNNNNNNNNNNNNNNNNNNNNNNNNNNNNNNNNNNNNNNNNNNNNNNNNNNNNNNNNNNNNNNNNNNNNNNNNNNNNNNNNNNNNNNNNNNNNNNNNNNNNNNNNNNNNNNNNNNNNNNNNNNNNNNNNNNNNNNNNNNNNNNNNNNNNNNNNNNNNNNNNNNNNNNNNNNNNNNNNNNNNNNNNNNNNNNNNNNNNNNNNNNNNNNNNNNNNNNNNNNNNNNNNNNNNNNNNNNNNNNNNNNNNNNNNNNNNNNNNNNNNNNNNNNNNNNNNNNNNNNNNNNNNNNNNNNNNNNNNNNNNNNNNNNNNNNNNNNNNNNNNNNNNNNNNNNNNNNNNNNNNNNNNNNNNNNNNNNNNNNNNNNNNNNNNNNNNNNNNNNNNNNNNNNNNNNNNNNNNNNNNNNNNNNNNNNNNNNNNNNNNNNNNNNNNNNNNNNNNNNNNNNNNNNNNNNNNNNNNNNNNNNNNNNNNNNNNNNNNNNNNNNNNNNNNNNNNNNNNNNNNNNNNNNNNNNNNNNNNNNNNNNNNNNNNNNNNNNNNNNNNNNNNNNNNNNNNNNNNNNNNNNNNNNNNNNNNNNNNNNNNNNNNNNNNNNNNNNNNNNNNNNNNNNNNNNNNNNNNNNNNNNNNNNNNNNNNNNNNNNNNNNNNNNNNNNNNNNNNNNNNNNNNNNNNNNNNNNNNNNNNNNNNNNNNNNNNNNNNNNNNNNNNNNNNNNNNNNNNNNNNNNNNNNNNNNNNNNNNNNNNNNNNNNNNNNNNNNNNNNNNNNNNNNNNNNNNNNNNNNNNNNNNNNNNNNNNNNNNNNNNNNNNNNNNNNNNNNNNNNNNNNNNNNNNNNNNNNNNNNNNNNNNNNNNNNNNNNNNNNNNNNNNNNNNNNNNNNNNNNNNNNNNNNNNNNNNNNNNNNNNNNNNNNNNNNNNNNNNNNNNNNNNNNNNNNNNNNNNNNNNNNNNNNNNNNNNNNNNNNNNNNNNNNNNNNNNNNNNNNNNNNNNNNNNNNNNNNNNNNNNNNNNNNNNNNNNNNNNNNNNNNNNNNNNNNNNNNNNNNNNNNNNNNNNNNNNNNNNNNNNNNNNNNNNNNNNNNNNNNNNNNNNNNNNNNNNNNNNNNNNNNNNNNNNNNNNNNNNNNNNNNNNNNNNNNNNNNNNNNNNNNNNNNNNNNNNNNNNNNNNNNNNNNNNNNNNNNNNNNNNNNNNNNNNNNNNNNNNNNNNNNNNNNNNNNNNNNNNNNNNNNNNNNNNNNNNNNNNNNNNNNNNNNNNNNNNNNNNNNNNNNNNNNNNNNNNNNNNNNNNNNNNNNNNNNNNNNNNNNNNNNNNNNNNNNNNNNNNNNNNNNNNNNNNNNNNNNNNNNNNNNNNNNNNNNNNNNNNNNNNNNNNNNNNNNNNNNNNNNNNNNNNNNNNNNAAUGAUGGAUUAAUUAGGCGUAAUUAGGCUUAAUAGAUUCGUCUCGCCAUUUAGAUUCGUCUUAUGUAAUGGGUUUUGUAAAUAGUCUACGUUUAAUACUCCUAAUUAGUCUCUAAACAUUCGAUGUGACACGUGCUAAAAAUAAGUCAGUGGAAGAAAACGCCCCCUAAGCCAGAAGUUGCACAAUAAUAGAUACCCAUACUCGAAAAGGGGGGGAAAAGAUAGUUGUACAACACUGGCAAGCUAUGUACAUAUUGGUUGUUGGUAGUGCCGCACACAUGACACAUGGCAGAGAUAGCUAAAACCUAGGCAUGGUCCCACAAAAACGACGACUGACAUACAUGUCGUUUCUGGUUAUUAUGUUUUUUCGGUAACAAUUUCUGCUAAUUAUUUUUUAAACAAUCUCUGCUAAUUAUCUUUGGUGGACAGUGCAAUUGAAGGGAUGGGAUCAUGGGAUUCUAGUUGUAGGAGCCCCAUACGGCACCUUCCCCCCUUGGACGAUGCUGCAAGUCAGAGGAGAUGGCGGCUAUGCAGAAAAGGCCCAACUUGUGCAGCCGGGGCGAACAUUUCCAACACUCCAGUCCAGAGUCCAUGCAGACCAAGCGGGUCGUGGUCGUGCUGCUGUAUAUUGUUUGCAAAAAACUGACAUGGAAAAGCCUGGUCUCCGUUUCAACUUUUGCCGCUAUAGUGGCCAAGCAAAUGUGAAAAUCUGGUAACUGAAACUACAGCUCCGCUUCUCAAACGAUUUGAUUUGUCGCUAAAGUACGGCCUAUUGAUCUUACCAGAAGGAUGUGUGUAAAUUGCUGCGGAGCAGACAAUUUUACAGAAAAUUUCAAAAAGGAGCAGUCGAAUUCUUGACAUGAAUCUCUAUGAUCUUCUGAAAAAAAUUGAACACGAGAUGGACUGAGCGGGUACCUGGAUUUUGCGGCCGAGCUGGAUGGGGGUGGCCGUGGCCUGGACGAGGUCGCCGAGCCCCGCGGGCCCGACGUGGUUGAUGGAGAGCUGCACGCCGGCGAGUCUCCGGUAGCCCGAGGCGACGUAGCAGCCGAUGCUCGCCGUGACCUCCGCCAUGAGCGCCGACACGCCGCCGUUGAGCCAGUCGAAGGGCUGCGGGCGGGCGCGCACCGCACCCGGUCGGUCGGCUCACCUCAUCAGUAAUCACGAUCGGGGGAAAAAAAAUCUAUCCAAGCGGCGGCGGCGGGCGGGCGUACCUGGCAGCAGGUCUCGGUGACGGGGAGGCGGCCGGCGACCUCCCGCGCGGUGACGCGGGUGAACUCGAAGCCCAGCGCCUGCAGCGCCCGGUCCACCUGGAACGGCUUGGUGGCGUCGCCCGCUGCCGGCGGCGGAGGAGGAUCGCUCGCGCCGGCGCCGCCACCCAUCACUCUCGGGUAUCGGCUUCAGGCCGGCCCUUUCUUUGGUCCGAGUGUGUGAAGGAAUAAUGAUUCUGGCGAGGCGGCAGCCGGCGGCAGAGGCGGGCGGGCAGGAGACAGGGUUGGGUCUUAGGGUCUUAGGGUUGGGAGGUUGGAGAAUUUUUUAUAUUUUUUAUUUUAGUAUUUUGCAAAAAUAUAUGACUAAAAAAAUUACAAAUAUCUAUACCUAUACCGUCGUUUGAAAUGACGGAAGGCGUACAGUAGCAAGCUACCGCCAGUUGAAUCGGCGGUAACUUUCCUCCUCUACGCAGUCAUAACUAAUUCAUAUGAACUUGGAUGGAGAUAAAUUUUAUAUGAAAAUUGUAGAUCUCGACUUUGUAGUUCAAACUGUUUUCAUUUGAUGUCAUCUUGGUGCUCAAAUAAUCGACACAAAUUUUAGAUCUAAAAUUUAAUUUUAGAUUGAAAAUUAUGUCGAUUAUUUGAGCACAAAGAUGGUACCAAAUGAAAAGUACACAGACGACACAGUACAUGGUCUUGUUUUAAAUUUUGCUAUUCAUGUGUCGAUAAAUUUUCUUCAUCAAAUUUUUUUAUGUUGCAAAUGUUAUCACUUGAUGUUGCAAACAUUAUUCUUCGAUGUUUCAAAAUAUUUCAUUAUUUUAGGGGAGGAAAUGUGGCAGGUUCUUGUGAUGUUACCGGUGCUAUUUACGAUGUUUCAAUGUAUUAUUCUCGCACGUUGAAUAGUACUUCAUGUUUCAAUCAUAUGCAAAAUGGAUAAUAAUAUCUGCAAUAUCAAUGAACAACAUGUGCAAUAUCAUAAAAUUUGACAAAAUUUACCCUAAAAAUCCGUCGGCAGAUAAAUAGACAUUUUUUUUUGCGAGGGCACGGUAGUACAUGGUCCUUUUUGUUUAGCAACAGCACAGAACCCACUGCACGGUGCAAGGUUACAGCCGAAACGCAACACCUUCAAUAACCGUAGACUUCCCAUAGAAAGGGCGGAGCCUGCUGGCGGUGAGAGUAAUUCACAUGAUGCUUCUCUAGAGCUUGGCGUAUUUCUUGAUGCUCGCUUCAUGGCUGGUCAUCUCCUCUGGCCUUGAUGGGUUGGCUGUUAGCAGGGUAACUCUUGCUGUCGACACCAGGUCCUUGCACUCUCCUGUGGAAGGAUCUGUCCGCCAUAUCUGGACCUCCCAGACCUGCCACGACGACGGGACAUUUCAGCUGUCAGCGGUUAGUUGCAUGCGCCUGACGCUCGCAGAUAAUUACAAUUAGCACGCCAAACUAAGGAUCAGUACACUUCUGUUCGCUUCAGCUUAUAAGCCGGUUGAAAAGUUGAAACGACUGAUUUGUUAUGAGAGAAAAAUACUGUUUGGUGGUUGAUAGGCCGGCUGAAUCGGCUGAAUAAGCUGGAGCGAACAGACCGUACGUAUAUAAUUAACUGGUUCGUGUCAACGCAUUACGCAAGGGUUCUUUCCGAUUGGGAAUUCAUUCCAAAAGGAUUGCUUCAACUCAAAUCAUAUACACGAGGAAACUGAACGCUAGCUAGCUAGAGACAGUUCGGGAGAGAUCGUAUGAAGAACAGGGGAGGGGGACAACGGACCGACCUGGAUGCUGCGGCCGAGCCGGACGGGGGUGGCCUGCGCGUGGACGAGGUCGCCGAGGCGGGCGGGCCGGAGGUGGUUGACGGACAGCUGCACACCGGCGACGCGCUGGUACCCGGACGCCAUGUACGCGCCGACGCUCGCCGCGGACUCCGCCACCAGCGCCGACACGCCACCGUUCAGCACCCCGAACGGCUGGCAGCACGUGCCGGUGACGGGGAGCCGUCCGGCGACCUCGCCCGCGCUGAUGCGGGUGAACUCGAACCCCAGCGCGUGCAGGGCCUUGUCCGCCACUACGGCGCCCUCCUCGCCCGCUGGCGGCGUCGGCGGCGGUGGGCGCUUGUCGUCGGCGCCCAUGGUCAUCGCUGGCUGCCCAAACUCUUCGACAGUCGAGGAUGGCGUGGUGGAGGACAGGAGGAGCAAUCGACCAUGGGUGAGCGUGAGGCGACUGGUGGAUAAUAAAGCGCCAACCAAAGCGGACCAGCACGUACGUACGCUGACCAUGGCUGUGUCGAUGUCGAUGGCCGUGGGCUUGGGUGGGCUGUACUUUUGCAAACUAUCUGGGGAUGUGUUGGGCUGGGCUUUGAUUGAAUGGACCACGACGCGCGGAAAUAUUUUUCCCAUUUGUCGAGCGAGAAACAAGGAAAGAAUCUAGUAUGUUUUAAGAAUUUCACCGUCGGAUCCUACUCAAACUUCUGUUUUCUCUUUUAUGAUAACCUCAACUAAGAACAUCUGUAUGAUGGAGGUUCACGACGCCAGUGUGGCCCAUCAUCCUGCGCACAUGUGGAGCUGUUGCUUCCUCUUUUGGUCCCUCCUCUCUCUAGCAUUGUUCCGGCUUUUCUCAAUUCCAAAGGACAAUGCAGGUACCUAAAUCACGAAAGGGUUUUCUUUGUCUUAAUUAGUUGAAGCAAAGUGAAGCGUCGAUGAAAAGAUAGAUGCAAGCUAAGGAGCUGCGGCCUAACUAUUGCUAAGGAAAAGUCUAAAGCGCGCCGACCGCCGCGCGCGAGUGCGCGACCUUCGUGGCCUGCUGCGGCCUAGCGAGAGGAUAGUGGGCUGCUGCGGCCCACACACUUUUUUCUUUUAAUUAUACCUUACAAUAACUUUGUUAUGGAGUGUUUAUUUUCAAUUCCGUUUGCACCAUUAUUUUUCUUAUGACAAUAUCUUCAAAACAAGAUGUAUAAUACAUAUGUUUUGGAAUAUAUUUUUAUAAGCUGACAACUUAUAUUGAAUGUGCAAUAGCUUAUAUUUGUUUGUAGCAACUUAUAUAUAAACACCUCAACAAAUGAUGUAGAUAAAGUGCUACAAACUUAUUAUCAUGUCCUUUUGCCUGGCUCUACAUAAGUUGAUACCAGCUAUAUUACAUCAUAUUAUCUUCGUCCAAGUUGUUCCACAAUCUUCCAACAAAUUGAUACAUUUGUCUCUAUAUAAAUUUUCUAAAUGAUAAAUAGAGAUACCACAUAAGUUGCUACAUAGUCAAUACGUAAGUUUGAUAUAUCACCUCUACAUAAUCCAUUACACUGUAUCAAAUUUUCUAUUGAUCUUUACAUAAGUUUGAUAGAUAAGUUGUUACGCAGUUUGUCUAUAAGUUACGACUUACAAUCAAUAUAACUUGACAGUCGCAUAAACAGCAUUAAAACAUAUCAAAUAUGGAUCUUGUUUUGUAGAUCUCAUUGCUAGGAACACAAUGGUGCAAACAGAUUUAAAAACGGACACUCGAUGUGAGAGUAAUGAUUAUUUAAAUGAAAUAUAAACAGUUUUUGCUGAUGACAUCAUCACCAAAAAUGACGUCCUCCUACCUAACCUGCACGCUGCACCCCAUUGAAUUGAUAAUGUCACAUGUUAGCAAAUAAUAGGCAAGCAAACUUGUAGUAAACAACUCUGUUGCACGCUCACCCGUACACCGGUCAGAAGAAAUGUGCAAGUGUUGGAUAGGAGGUCGCGUGCUAACAGUUGGCGCGACCGGUCGCACGUUAACCUCGUCCGCUAGUGAAGUUGCACCGAAGAAGUUGCACCAAAUGAGAGCACGUCAAUGAUGACCAGCAAACUGAGUGUAGGUUAGAUUUCUUAUGUUGAAAUCCAACGACACAGGUUUUGAGUCCUGGACUCAGUAUCCGAUGCUCGUAUUUUUUUCUUUUUAGUUUUUGGAUUUUUUCAAGAAUCAACAAUGUUGUAUUUUGUGUGUUAGGAGACAUUGAUGUGUCCAUCGACAAGAAAGUAUCUAUGGUGACCUCAUCAAUAUUAAGAUCCGCUGACAACCCAAUCUCUCAUAGGUGCUUAUAGAGUAGUAGGAUGUGGGUACGUCGGUGUAUGUGUUUCGAAAAUAGGAGCACGAUGAUGAUUAAAAGGUAAAGCUUGUGACCACCACAUGUGGCACCGUCUAAUAAUCAGUAGAUCCCAUGUGCUACAUCACUGUACAUGUCGUGCAUAUGACUUAUUUUUUGUCAGAAAAAAGAUAUGCAUGUGGAGCAUGUAUAUCAUUAUCAAAUGUUAACCCAGCAAUCACAGGCGAGAAGAAGUAAUCAUUAACCAGAAAAUUAAUGAACUUUGUGGCAGAGGUUCCCCAUAAUGAUGCACUUUAAAUUUCGCAUUAUGCUGUUCCAGGAAUAAACCAUCAUCGUAUAGUAUAUAUAGUUUGCAUCUAUCAUUCGGCAAACAAUGCAAGUUAGAUUGUGUUGCCACUUCUUUCUCAGCUCCAUCAGGGGAAUAUAUAAUCAUUGGAAGUCUGUUGGUCUCCCAUAUGCGUAUGUUCUUGACAGAUAGGGAGGACGACUACAUGACCUGAUUGCGAGGGCGCGGCCAGGCAGCGGCGGCGGCGGCGACGACGACAUGGAACGAAUUGAAGGGCGUCCGAGUUCAUUCCACCGCCGCAUGCUGGGCGGCGGCGAUGACGACGCGGCGCCGUGGUCGCGCUAGUAGUAGGCGGCAGGUCACCCACGACGCCGUACGUGCCGUGCGACGGUGCGAGUUGUCCAGUUGCUGUGCCCCGUCUGGUUAGGUUGCUUGUUUUGGUGUACCGACGCCCCGGCACAUGCUUUUGGCCGGCGGCAGCGGCAGCGGCAGUACGUGUUCCAUAUGCUACCUAACUUGAUCCGUCUAUUGGGAUUGGAACUCGAGCGGGUCACGUGAACGCAAAAGCUUUGCUUUCCCCUUCCGGCCGUGAUUGCCACAAAACAAUAAAGUUAGGAUAUGGCUAGAUAAAUGUUUCAAGUGGUCCAUAUAUGUUUGUAUACUAGUAAAUUUCUAUAAUUUUAUUUACGCUGCCCGAUGCAUGGAUUCAGUGAUCGAGUUGUCUCUAUUUUACUCCUCCUGUGCCUGUGCCCAGCUAUCAGGAUUCAAGAUAGCAUCAUAGUCAGAUGUUGUGUCGAGUAGUUGAUGGGCACUGCUGCCUGCUUGGUUUUCGGUUACCUAUAGCCUCACUCACGGCCUGACCAUGCCCAUCAUCACCAUUUCAUUUGGUCCAUUUCUUUACGUUGAGUAGAUGUGCGUUUGAGUAGCUGAGCCCCCGGAGCUCAUCAUCUCUGAUCUGACCAUGCAUGUGACCGUGUGAACGCGCGCAUAUAUACUCAGAUUGAAUCGAUGCAUGUCAAUGUUGGAAAAUUUAUUAAGCCCCGGCAAUAACCGGCCAUCACAUGGAAAGGUUUUCAGAGUCCAGCAUCUGCUUUGUUUAGUGGUUGCAUUUUGCAGUCUCCAAUGUUUUUCUUUGGCCGAUAAAAUUGAGUACCGACGUCCUCCCUAAUCAUCACUUAAAUGCCUCUCCUCUGGUCUCGUGCAUCAUUAAACAUCAUUUGAUUAUGUCUGAUACCGGACACGGAGAGAAACCGUUGGUCGUCACCGCCGGUGGCCGGCGCCCCGGGCGGUUUUCUAGGCCGGCGGCCUUGCUUUAUUUGCAGACCAUUGCAUAUGUACAAGAGAGAGAAUCCAUUGCAUGCAUACAACACAAGCUGCCAAAUGGUCAAAAGCCAUUGGCUCGUCAGUCUAGCAGAAGCACUGUGCAGUAGUGGCGGAGCGCGUCGGUCAGAGGCUCAGGGCUCUGUCCGGGCGGCUGUAUACUGCGGGAAACAUGCGUGCAUGCAUCACGCGCGUGACAAGAGCGAGGCUGGGGCCGACGCGGCUUGACGCUUGAGUGCUUGACGGCUUGUGGUCUGGGCGGCGCCGGAGCGGGCUCCGCCGGGCCCCCUUGCCCAUCACCGUCUCCGGCUCCGGCUCCUCCGUGCAUGUGCGCCUGCAUGCGACCUCAUGAUUCUGUCCUUUUAACCCAUGGACCCAGAUCGAGCCGGUGCACGUGCCGCCAUGCGCGCCGUGUCCCCACACCCCCACGAUUCUGUUCGCACUUGCAUAGCUGCAUUGCAUCUGCAUCGAGAAGAACACCGAGAUCCUUGGGUUUACAGGAACAAUAUCAAAUCGUCAACUUUCAUAUUUAACUACUACGUAAUCUCGCAACGAUACUCUAAUGUGACGGGAAUGAUUACUUAACGUUAUAGAAACAAAACAAUAGAGGACUGCUGGAGAUGAGACGACUCUCUCCUCCCAUUAUCAGGGUGCAUGUGUGCCCAGCCCAGCCCGGAGCGCCGUCGGAUCACCGGAGCUCCGGCGAUCCGACGGCGGCUUUUCAUCCUGUUCGGCCGGGCCGGGGCGCCACUUACGCGCCAAGAGAGCUUUUCAAUGCGUGCCAAAUAAAUUUCUGUUUCUUGGGUCGACAUCAACGUGCACCCCCACCAAUCUUGUCUUCCGGAUCUUGCCUCCCAGUCCCACCUCCCUCUCACUCCUCUUCGUCCUCCCUUUGCUUCUUCCUCCCUCUCCUCUUCGCCGUGGAUCACGGAUGGGUAUAUAUAUGGGCUCAAAGGACCCGGCCGAGUAGCUGUUGUUUACCACAGCACAGUACUCCUUCUCUGAUCCCAGCAUACACACACAAAAGACACCGAUUGAUUCCAGCAACCAGCAUAGUCCUUCAUCUGUACGACACAAACAUCGAACACCAGUAGCAGCGGAUUCCAUUGCAUUUGCAUCAUGGGUUCUUGGGUGCGCACCAUCACGACGCCCUUCAGGAAGAUGCUCAACCCGCAGCGUGACGGCAAGAAGACGCCGCGCCACCACCACCACCACCACCACCAACAACAAUCUCCUUCUUCAGGUAAAUACACGAUUGUUUUGGUUUUCGCAUCUAUCCAUAAAUCUAUCUCUUAUGUAUGAUUUGAUAAAUGGAUGCUCAUGGCGUUUGCGCAUGAUUUGCAGCCAUGGAGCACAGCGGCGAGAUGGAGAGGUCGCAGCUCUACGGCGAGGUGAUGGCGUGCACCUACGAGGACGUGCAGGUCAUGUGGUCCAUGCUCGACAAGGCCAGGAUCUGCAGCGCCGCCGCCUCCUGACCACUAUACACACACAUCCUCUUCAUCCAUCCGAUCCGUCCGUCCAUGGCGAGAACGAGAUCGAUCCACCAGUAUAUACAAACACAGCCAUAGCCAUUAUUCAUUGCAAAAGCAAAGCUCUUGGCGACGACGACAGUACCUUCAGUCUGCCGAGGCGGCAUGCAAGCAGUUCCAAUCCCAAGGCUUUUUUUUUCAGUUGGUUUCGUGUGGGGCGCGUGUACCAUGUUCAUGCGCAUGGUCGAGUCUGAAUCCCCGCUGCUGGCACACACAUGGAUCAUGGUGAAAGGCCGCCGGUGUGCUGUCUUGGAGAGAUUUAGUGACCCACAACAUUUUAGUUAGGUGUUGCUGCUUUUGAGGCCAUCAUGCUUUGUUUUCCUCUUUUUCUAUUUUUCGGUGUCAGAGAUGCAUGUAUUCAUCAUCCGAUGCAUGAGUUUAUAUAGAAAUUCCAGAGAUCUGAACUUUAUCUCUGUUUUGAACCUCAACUACGAAGUCCUUCACCUUCAUCUUAGGCCUAUUUUGGAAGGACGUGACUGAUUAGCCCAGGGUAGAAGUGCCCCUGAGGGUUUUUUUUUUUUGACUUUGCGGUUUUUUUUUUACUUUUCGAAUCCCUUCCACCAGAGAUUUGCUGACUCCUAUCCCGUUGCUGUUUGGAAGCUAUGAGUCUCUGACGCAGGGCAAGCACAGCGGGAGGGAUAUAGGGAUAAUAAUAGCAAGAGAUACCGAUGGUACGGAAGAUAUGUGCUUUGCUGAUGACAUAGUGAUAAAUCAACCAAACUUCAGUCCACACAAAUGGUAAAAAUAUCAUUUUACAUCCAGCUGAAGCAAAAUAUAAAAAUUUACAGAUUUCUCAGCAUGUUUAAUUUACGCUCAUAAUUUAACCAUUGAUGCAAUAAUACAAGUUUUUUUUAGUAAAAGAAGCUGUCAAAUACUCACAACCAUUCUCUUCAUGCUUCAUGGUUCUCCUCAACAGUCACAAAUUCUAUCAAAUAAACAAUAAAAUAAAAAUUGAGAUCAGUGUUGAGGAGAUGCAACCAGGUGCUGUUGGAGCUGUAGUUCCAUUCAUUCUUCAAAAGUUUUGUUUCGUUUCUUCCAAAUAAAAGUUUUCUCCCGCCAAAAGAAAAGAGAGUUUUCGCAAGGUAUACUUUCUCAGAUGUGCUUACAGUAUGCCACGAACUGACAAAAGAGAAAGCAGUACUCUCUCGCAGAGGAUAAAAGGAUGCAUACCAAUUGUCAUGAGCCAUCUAUGAUUUGAUACCGAAGAAAUACCUUUACGCGUGAAUCUAGCUGUAUUAACAUCAUAUGAGUCAAUAAGUGGACCUCUAAGUAAGAAAAAUUGUAAAUAUGGAACAUAUAUGCAUGCUAAUUAUUCAUGUUCAGAGCUAACAUUUGAUUCAAUAACUAAGAGAGAACUUGUUUGACAAUACAGUGAGAGUGAGUGUACAUAAAACCACAAGCCAACAGCACGAAGAUAGCUAUUAUAAUUACAAGCAAGUUUACAGCAGUGUACUCACAGCCUCUGCUUAUCUAGCAACAUUGUUACUAUGUCAGAUCUAGUAUACACUCCAGCUGCUUGAAAUUUUUUAUGUAAUCAGUAGAACAUCCAGUUCAGCUGGAGGUAUGUUCAAAUUACUUGAGCACCUGGAUGGCUGGAUGUACCUAUCUUCAAUCAGUUGAACAAUGUGCUCCGGAUGUACCUGUGUUCCAGGGAAUGAUUUAACCAGUAGGUGGCAAUAGGUUAAGAGGAAUAAUUUAAAGCACUUGCAUGUGAAAUGGAUGGAAUCUGCCUGCGGCACAGGUGAAAGAAUGGAGAUGUACUGAAAGUCUAAACUUCUGCUAAAACAAUUGCACAUUCAAACUGUUACUAAUUUAAUUUGCAGUAGUUUGUGGUCCUGAAUUCCUUUUGGAAUCAGUGGCACAUAUGGAAAAACGGGGUGUAAUGAAGGUCAUUCUGCUAAAAUAAUUUUGCGCAUUCAAACUAGUAAUACUUUGCAUCAGUUUAGAUAUAUUGAAAUGUGCUCUCGAACAGAGUAAGCUACAUGCAUGUGAAACAAAUAAGACCCUGCAAACUCAAAUCAUAGUGACACUCACAAGUUAAGAAAUAUCACAACAGAUGUGCAUUCCCAUCUGCGAAUUUCCUUUCCCUUCAUUACCAUUCCAUUAGAUUUCCAUAUCACCUCGUCAUCUCCGCUAGAGCCGUACGUGUACGUGGUGACGUUGCCCUUGGGCGCGAUGAUGGGGACACGCGUGGUGCAGACGGUGCCGACGACGUCGGGGAUUCCAGACACGGCCUCGAACCUAGCCGCAGCGGGGGGCCCGUCUGGCCAGAUGACCUCGGGUUUUAGCACUGUGGCAAGGGCGUGGCAUACCUGGAGCAGGUUGAGAUGCCAAGGCUGAAGUGGCGGGAGAUCUCACGGAGGGGCUCCCCUGUGGCGAGGUGCCAGAGGUAGGCCACCACGCGCCGGCGCACGGGGGCAUGUGAAAAGGCUCCGGCCGGGGAUUGGGUGGCCGACGGGAAGGAGGCGCCGGCGGUGGCGCGGGACUCAUUGCCGGAGCAGGACGACGGGGAGGCAGAGCGGCUGCAGCGCCUCAACCGAAUGCUCGCCGUCAGGGCCAAGGAGGAGCAGAGGCGGGCAACGCCGCUGGAGGCGAGGCUCAGCGAGGUCUCGAAGACGCCGCCGUGCUCGCCGCGGUGGAGCACGGAGUGCUCCUAGCGGCGCUGGUGGCCCCACUCCGGGCCGCGGAGGAGGAGCUCGCGGCGUGGGUGCCCGCCACGCGGUGGUACGGGAGGUGCUCGGGCGCGUCGAGGUGGAGGCGGCACGCGAGGCAGCGGCGGGGGCUGACGCCGCGGCGCAGCUCCAAGGGUCCGCCGCGGAGAAUCGAUCAUUCUCGGAGUGGAUUGGCGCCAAGGGUGCCGAGGCACAAUGCGUGGGGAGACUACACGGCGGCAGGGCAGAGCGGAGGACCAAGGUGAGCCAAGAACGCCGAUUGCUAAUAGAACUCGAUUCCGUCAAUGGUUAUAUAGAUAAGGUUCCAGUGGGGCCACGUUGUCAGUGUCACAUAUGGAUGGAAAAUCUAACGGAAUGGCAAUGAAGGGAAAGGAAAUUAGAAAUAGUGGCAGUGAGGGGAAGAGAAAACUUUCGAUGGCAUUGAGGGGAUCGUUAUAAUUUCCAAUGGCAUCAAGGUAAUUCACUCUUUUAUUUUACGGUCCUAAAUUUCGUCCCUGCCUACUCGUAUAGUCCCAUGAACACUCUUUUAUCUUAACAACAAAAUCACAUAUGUGGUAUGUCAGAGCCUUGCCUCUAUUCUGAAGAAAUUUUUUAUGGGACGACAGACUCCGAGUAUCUACACAACCAUUCUAUAGGGCAUCCAUGGAAACAAAGCGAAUAGAGCAUUAAAGGUGUACAAUUCAGUUGGAAUGAUAGAGAUUCUGUUUUCUGUUCACUAAUCUAAUGUAGUAUGACAGUUCUAGUGAAUAGAAAAACUAGAGGAUGGAGAUGAACAUCAAACUGCAGCACUGCUAAUAUUGUUGUUUACUUCAGAGUUCUGAUCGAACGGUUCGAAAGCUCAAAUAAAUAACUCACCAUUCAACAGUAUAAUUUUGUAUACAAUAUUCUACUCCCACUGAAAUAGUGUAGUAUCUUUCUUAAAAUUUACAGUACGAAUAUUUUCAUAAACUUAGAAAGCAUAUGUACCCUUUUUUCCUUUUGAAAGAAAGAAAGCAUAUUACUCUUGCAUAGUGUACACUAGUACUCCUAAGAUAGAAGGUUGCUAUGCCCUAAAAAAAAGAUAGAAGGUUGCUAGAAGUAACUAACAGCCCAUCAAGCAGGGUACCCUGGGCCAAAUCGUUAAUUUCUUUGUUAGGUACUGAUGCUGCGGCCCAAUUCCAGCGCGUGCGCUACAAAUUUACUUUCUUAACCUCAACAGGCCCGCCUCAGCCAACAUCAUUGCGGCCCAAUAAGAAAAAUGCGGCCCAUCGUUUCCUGAAGGCCUUGAGGCCUAGCCUAACUACUGCACCGUCUGCUGGCCCACUUGCAUUGAACGGACAAGUAAUCAAAAGUUAAUAGGAACCAUUCAUUGCGUAGGAAAACUUCUAAAUAAAUCACGGAACAAUACGAGUACUAAUAUACUCGACCCAGGCCCAUCAGGCUGAAUAUGAAGAUCAGGGACGGCGGCCCAUCAUCGCGCAGGAUCACGAUCCAGAACGCGGCGUCGACGUGCAGCCACAUGCCAUGGCGGCGCGUCACCUCCCCGAGCUCGCGCACGGGGUCGGCCGCGCCGAGCCCCGUCGUCCCGAUCGUGGCGCAGACGUACAGCGGCACCGGGUCGCGGGCGACGUCGGGAUGAGUAGAUGACGCGGAAGUUGGAGGGCGGGACGCCGACGACCCGCGCGCCCUUCUGGUGGAACGUGGCGUGCGCCAGGUCGGAGGCGUAGACCACCAGCCUCGCGAUGGCAUCGUUUCCCAGCGCGGCCAGCGCGCGGUCCCGCGCGGCGGCGAGCGUGCACACCACGGCCUCGCACCUGCUCCCCUGCAGGACGCCCCCGCCACGGCCGGAGGAGAGGAACCGCUGCGGUAUGCCGAGCAGCGCGGCCGUCCAGUCCACGACGACGCCCUCGAAGCUCGGCGGCGUCCGGCGACGCCGCCCACGUGAAGGGCACGAAGACGUUGAGGCCGGCCGAGAGCAUCUCCCCCGCGAAGCCCGCGGCGCUGGCGUUGGCCGGGAAGUAGGCGAAGAAGCUGGGGGCUCUGCCAGUGCGUGAGGCCCGGGAGGAUGUCCCGGCGCACGUCGUCCAGGACGCUCUCCAUGGACUCGCCGCACUCCGGUGCCGCAUUGGGGAGCAGCGCCCGGAGCCUGCCCAGCUCGAGGCCGGCGGCCCGGACUAGGUACUGGUCGAUGUCGCGGUAGUACGCGGCGAGGAAGUCCAGCACGGCACGCGAAUCGCGAGUCGCCCGGGAAGGUCUCGGAGUCCAGUGGCUGGAAUGGCGCGUCGAGCGGCAAGCUGCCCAUCUUCCGACACUGGCAGAGACCGAGCAUACGUACUUGGAAGUUGUUGUGGCUCAUGGUUGCCGCUGUUCUAUCCAAGUCAGCACCGCUGCACCAACUGCAAAAUAAUCUCCAAAUAAUUUUCCCAAACAUGAACAUAUAUCUUGGGCAAAAUAAUUUUAUUUUUGUGCUUGACACACUUUCCAUGAGCAAAUGUUCACCAAAUGAUCUUGUGUGUUUGACACUUUCCAUGAGCAUACUACCGUGGCCCAUAAUCACAUUCCAACGAGGUUGCUUCAUCUCACCGUGGUGUGGGUGGUAAUCUUGAUGUUGUCUACAGCAUGCUUGUGGCCUCCAGCACCGCCGGCCAGACCGUCAGCUCAUCGGACUCAUUGGACCGCCGUGUGUGUGUCUCAACGCAACGGCCACGGAGACGUCACAGAUCGAUCAGGAUGGAAUUAUGGAAAGCUCCUCCGCCUUCUCGAGUAGCUUGGUGCCCCACGUUCUUGUCGACGACGAUCGGUCAACUCAUCCUGACCAUCCAAAAAUGCAUCACGACCUUGUGACUAUGCCAAUGACCAACAUCGCAUCUGCCUCCAAUAGAGCCCCCACGUACACACCAUCUUCUAAUUUCCACCCAAGAACGUAACAUCCUCUAAUACAAUUCACUUGGUCCUACGAACUCAAACAACUUUGGACUAGUCAUAAAUGCUAACACUUUAACUUGCAUGCUGCACACGCACAAUUCUUUCCAUCUGCAUCAUGUCAAAAUACAUUUACACAUUACCGCCCUACAGUAAAGCACCAAAAUUUUCUACGCGCACGCACACAACUAGCUAGUAAGUGUAUUGAAUAUAGGAUUUUUAGUGCGGCAACAUUUCGAAUACUCAUAUGUGAAAAGAGAACACCUUAAAUCCUUAAUCUAAUGUAGAGAAGAAUGUAUAAAGCAUUACUUUCAUAAAAUUAAUUGAUCAAUCAUAGAAUACAUAGAACCCUGUUCUAAGGACUCUACACGAUUGAUAACAAAACUCCACACGACUCUAAAAAGCAAAUGGCGAACAAAAGACACAACUAUACUAGCCCACUGAAUUUCGAUACCACUUCUCUCUCAGUGUAUUCGAUACCGCUUCAUCUCUCUACUUAACUCCACUCCCCUCACACGCAACUCCCUCUCUUCUUCUUGCCGCCACACGCACCGCUGUUGUAGUCCGUAACACCAGUGACUCCUGUAGCUUCCGCCACAUCCUCGCCGGUGAGGACCAUCCACCCUACUCUUCCUCUUCCACUCCCUCUCCCAUUCGUCUCCACUCCAAACUUUUUGGCCAAAACUCUAACCCUAGCUUGUGUUGUUGAUUUUUGACGGAUGCCCAGCUUUUGGCAAGCUCUGCGAGAGGGGCCGGGGGAGAGGAAGAUUUGCAUCAAUCAAGAGGGGGAGGAGGAUCUGUAAGGUGCGUCUGUGUUCGUUCUUUCACUUGAAGCCUUUUCAUGUUUUCAAUGUAAUGUGUCCCAAAAUUUGGUAAGUUGAGUAUGGAUGUGUCCCAAAAGGUUACUAAUUUGAGUAUGUUGCGUGCCUUGAUUUGAUCCGUGCCGAUGUUGAUUGGGUCUACUAGAUUAAUAAAUUUAUUUUCACGAUGGUUUAUUCCUUGGUGGUUCUAGUUGAGUGGCAAGAUUACGAGUCCCUUCACUUUUUUAAAUGUUUGUUGCUGCCCUAUGAAAUGUAUGGUACAACUUAUGAAUUUCUUCAUCCAGUAAACUGCCAAAUCAUAUAAAGAUGAUCGACCAUAGACCCAUUUGAAUGUGAGGAACCGGCAACUGAGGCAUCAUUUGAAGUUAUGCAAGGAGAACAUUCUUGCGGGUAACUAAAGUUUAUAGUUUCCCCAUUUUGUAGCACUUGCAUUAUAAAAAAAGAAUUUUAAUUUGCACGGCAUGUAUAAAUGCAAUGAGAGUAAUAAUUCACAAAAUAAUGCUGACUUGCCAGUUCUAACAGCUAUGCACUGUCAUGUUUACCUUCCUCCGAUCAAUUGCACAAGCAAAUCCUGCUUGCACUCAUGUUUGUAUUUUCUUUUCUCUUCUUUAGGUGAGGCUCAAAGGAAGAACUGAGGAAUAGUCCAGAAGCCAGUGCACCACUCUGCAGAUUAAUCUUGUCCUAGAUUGUUCAUAUGAACUUCUGAAUUUACCAACCAUUUGAAACUCUAAGACUUGUUGUUAUUAUGUUAUUGCUAUGAUGUGUUCUAUCAUUUUCAAGCUCUAAGGCAUUCAAUACCGAACUUAUCAUAACUUGGUUUUAUUUGAUUUUGCCAUGGAACUUCAGAUGCAGAAUAUUGGUUUUCAAUUUAUGAUCGCCCAUGGAUGUUUUAUUGUCAUGUAUGUCAUAUCAUUUGCUCCUAUUAAUGUAGGAUGCAACUUAUAUAUAGCAAAUAUUGUUCAUUCUGCAGCUUUUUAAUCUUUAGAAGUGAGAUAGUACCAACCUAUCGAGGAAGAAAGUUUGCACUUCCAUGGGAGUUUCUAGAGGAUAAAGGCUAGGGGCUUGAAGUAAAGGAAUGUGAGGAAGGGGCCAGAAAAGAUAAGGUGCCUCCAUAAUUUUAUUGUUAUUUACUUUUCAAUUUUCAAUCAUUAACAGGUUCUCAUAUUGUACUGGUACUCAUAUGUGAAAAGAGAACACCUUCAAUCCUCAAUCUACUGUAGAGAAGAAUGUAUAAAGCAUUACUUUCAUAAAAUUAAUUGAUCAAACAUAAAAUACACAGAGCCCUGUUCUAAGGACUCUACAUGAUUGAUAACAAAACUCCACAUGACUCUGCAAGAAAAUGAAUAAAAGACACAACUUAGAAGUCUUAUUUCUGGCUGGCUGAGAUAGAAGUCUUAUUUGUGGCUGCAGGCUAAGAUAGGAGCCCUUUACACAAGGGCUUUGAAGCUGUAAGCUUAUUGAACAUAAGAUUUUUAGUGUGCCAAUAUUUCAAAAAUAAAGCAUAUACUGCUCAUCAUGUGUACUCAAUGUGAAAAGAUAACACCUUACAUCCUCAAUCUACUGUAGAGAAGAAUGUAUAAAACAUUACUUUCAUAAAAUUAAUUGAUCAAAUGACAUAGAAUACAUAGAGCCCUGUUCUAAGGACUCGACAUGAUUAAUAACAAAACUCCAUAUGACUCUAAAAGCAAAUGAACAAAAGGCACAACUUAGAAGCCUUAUUUCUUGUUGGCUGAAAUAGAAGCCUUAUUUGUGGUUGCAGGCUAAGAUAGGAGCCCUUUAUACGAGGGCUUUGAAGCUGUAAGUGUAUUAAACAUAAGAUUUUUAGUGUGCCAAAAAGCAUAUACAUCUUGUGUACUCAUAUCUUGUGUACUCAUAUGUGAAAAGAGAACACCUUAAAUCCUCAAUCUACUAUAGAGAAGAAUGUAUAAAGCAUUACUUUUAUAAAAUUAAUUGAUCAACAUAGUGCCCUGUUUUAAAGGACUCGACACGAUUGAUAACAAAACUCCACAUGACUCUAAAAGCAAAUGAACAAAACACACGACUUAGAAGUCUUAUUUUUAGCUAGAUGAGAUAGAAGCUUUAUUUGUGGCUGCAGGCUAAGAUAGAAGCCCUUUAUACCGGGCGUGGCACAAUGAUUUACAAAUUCAAACUAGCCGAAGAGUCCCCACCUGGGUGUUUUACCAUUUAUGCCGGGCGUGGCCGGGGGGAAUAAUGGAGGGUGCAUGGCACCAGGGUUACAUUGGAGACCACCGGGUGGUCGGUUGGGACUUGGCCGGGAGAGCCAGCUAGCGGCAGGGGAGCGGUUUACAUAGCGAACAUAGCACACCAAUCAUCUACUACGUGACGCUGGAGAACUGGGAGGCGGCAGCGCCACAGCCGAUCGAGCUUCAUCACUGCCAGUGAUCAGCAGGCGGGGAAGGCUAGCUUGUCUCGCGCCCAUGGAACACGACUUCGUGCCGGUGCUUCCAGAGGUGCCAGCAGCAGAGCAAGACGAGCGUGGGCAGAGCAGUGACGGGGUAGCAGUGGUCUCCUGGAGCGCGAGUGUACCGGGGGGAGAGCGGCAUGGUCCCAUCCAAUGUGUCGCCAGAAACGGCACGCAAACGGGCAGUUGCGGAUGAGGUGCCGAGGUGGCGUCGUCGAGGACGUUCUUGCUCGACAGAUUGCACUUGCACUGGAUUCGCCCUUGGACGAGAAGCCAAAGCGAAGAAUCUUACGCGCGGCGGGGCGUGAUUGCGCCAGACGAAGGCGUAGUAGGGGCAGGCGGCAACGUCGGCGCGGUAGACAGCUGCGGCACUAAGGGCGCGGCCGGGCUUCUCGAAACGACUCCGGCGAUCGUCCGCCGCCGGGGUGAGAGCCUGGGGACGAGAAACGUGCCGAUGCCGGUGUUCAUCACGUCGUGCACCGUGGCGCCCUGCUGGCGCGCCACAUGGUUGUACAGGGCAGGGAGGGACGUGGCCAGCGGCGCCUAACCGAGCCAGGCAUGACCGAGACGCAGGUGAUUGGGCCUUGGGCGCUGGGCGGAGCGCCGGCAGGAGAGCACGCGACACGUCCCAGUGCGCGCCCUGAUCGAACGUCCCCAGACAAGGUGGCGAGGUACGGUCGACGCGCUCGCGUGUCCAGAGCGCCCAAGAUGACUCGCCAGGAUGAUGUAGGCGGCGCAGCAGCUUAAGAAGUAGGGCGGCAUUCUGGACCGCGAGUUGCCGAAUCCCCAGGCCACCGUCUUCCUUGGCUUGGCAGGCGCGCGCCUACGCAAUGAGGCAUUGUGCCCGCCGGACACCGUCUCGUUGCCGCUCAAGAGGAACGCAUGGCAACGACAACGGUCCAGGGCGUCGAGCACCUCCGGGGAGCAGUAGCGCCGCCAUGAGGUAGGUGGGGAGCUCGUCUAUGACGGAGUUGAUCCAGACCACCUGGACAGCCGAGCUGAGCACAGCAGGAGGGCUUGCCCUGCCGGACAGGUACGUACCUGUCCACCUUGGCGAUGAGUGGGGCGAACGCGGCAAGGUUGAGUUUCACAUAGUUUUGAUUUUUUUUCAUACCUAUUGACAAAGGAUUUAUGCACUAUAAGUGUAUUUUAUUGUCUAUGAAAUAUGUGACAAAAUUAGUCUACAUCUCCUUUACUUUAUUUAAGAAUAUGUAUUUUGUAUUUUAUGUUCUUUAUCAAGAAUUUUCUAGUCAAACUACGAUCAUACACAAUACAAAUCAAGUGGCAAUUAGCUGAACUAGAAAAUAUUUUAAAGCUGCAUUACAUAUAUGUGCUUCUGAAAAACUUGAUGAAAUAGCACAGUAUCAUAUGAGAAACUAUAAAAUUGCAUUUAGAAUCAGAUGUUAUGCGUGUACCAAGCUGAUACUGAGCAUGCACUCCCGUCGGCCGAUUGCAGGAAAACCCUGGGCAAAUGUUGCAAAUCGUGAUAGGGUGAUAUCUGAAGCCCUGAACUAUCAAGCUAGCCUUCUUGAUUUUUUUGCAUCGAAAAUCCUCAAAGGUUAUUGUGUGAAUAGUAUAUAUAAAGUGCAGCGAAGGAGCCAAAAGCACUGGCACAGACCAAGCACGACUAUGCAUGGAGGUGUAAUGAGGUGACACUGUAGUGGUGUCACAAUGGGUCAGUACUUGAGGCAACAUUUUCUUUUAUCAAUAGCAUUUGCACUCUACCGGUAAUACUAAUACCCAUAAAGAGUAGUAUUAUUUGAGUUGAUUAACUUAUUCUCAUAUAAUAUUUUUUAUUAGUAUGCUAAGAGAUAAUAAAUUCCUAUAACUUGUAAUAAAUAAAUUGAAGUCCUUUUUUGUCAUUGUCUCUAUAAUAGCAAAGGAUUCCGGUUUGGAAGAACAUUGUGUAAAAUCCCCAAAAUAGUAGCUGCUCCUCAAUAAACAGAGAAAAAUAUUGAUCAAAACAGUUGAUGAGCUUAUCAGCACGGUUGAUGGAUGCUGGGAAAUAUCAUUAUUGGUUGACCAUAUUUUCUCACAAGAGCAUGAACGAAGAAGUUCGCCAAAUAGAAGGCGGUAUAACAGAUACAUUUGAUGAAAUGGUAUCAUAACGUUCAGGGGCUCUUUUUCUGUCAAAAUUAUGAUAAAACUUAGGUGUGUGUGGCAAUAUAUGAUGAUCCGGAAUGAACAGGAUCCAUCAGGUUCAACAGGAAAUGCAAUCAUUUUCAAUUGCAAAUAAAUUGAAAAUCAUCCUAUGGAGUCUUGCACAUAAAUAACGUUCCUCUAUACAGAAGUAACUCCAUGCCCAGUUUAUUGCGGGAUUAGAUGAAGAAUGAUGGUCGUUCAUUUGCAAUAUGAAUAUGCACUAGAAAUCUAGACAGGAGCAGGUUUGGACGAUGUACGCGGUCCAUUGGUAGAACAGAUGUGAUUGGCUCCGUUUCUGCAGAAAAUUGUAUUCUAAAAAAAAUGGCAGGGAGAAAAAUUAAUAGAUAGAGUUACUGUUAACGAGGGGAGGAGAACAGAGGGAACUGUCUUUGACCGGGAGUCUCUAAUCAGCGCGCGCCAGGGCCGCCAGCGCUCGAUCUCCCGACAGCCCGUCCUUCCGACAGCCCGCGACUUUCCUUUUUGGAAAAGUUUAAAAUCUCGUAACUUUCCAUUUUCAGAAUAUCAUAACUUAUAUACAUAACUUUGAUGCAUAACUCCACGAUAUAACUUUUAUGAGAUAAUUUUUUAGCACAACUUCAAUAGCGUGCAGAACUUAUGUGUAUAACUUCUAGGUACAAUUUGCAAGAAUAACUUCGAAUUUUGUUUUUUUAAAGCUGUAACCUAUACGAAUAAUUUGUACGCAUAACUUUUUUCCUAACAAGAUGAUAAAUUUCGUAAUACAAUUUUCAUAACAUACAUAACUUAUACACGUAACAUUUGUCGUAACUUUUAAAAGAAUGUAUGCACAUAACUUAUACAUAUAUACAAAUAUUUACCUAGUAUAUAAAAAAAUUGAAAAAGAAAAAACGCGCGGGGCCACGUGGGACCCACCGGGCGUUUGCGUUGCGCGCCCCGAAGCGCUGCAGCGCGUGUCUAAAUAACAUUGCGUCUUUAACCUCACCUGACAGAGAACUUACUCUUUUUUUUCUCAGUUGGUUAGGUAUCCUGUGGUUGAACCUGUCCACCCAGGUACAAAUUAAAUCCUUGACUCGGCGUGAGAAAACCUAAUGACAGAGUUGUUUGUUGUUCCUAAUCCUGAAUUCCUGAUUCUGACGUUUGUCUGCAAUGAACAGCAUCUCGACCCAUCUGACCAUCUCUGUGUGAGGGAUCUUAAGGGCUAAUCUCUGACUGCUUGUUUAUAUCAACGCAUAUACCCUGUAAAUAAACUCAGAUCUGCUAGACCCUUUUCACUGAAACAACGGUUAUCACAACAGAGGAGUUAGUUCUGAAUAAAACAUAGAGCAGAAAAUUAAACAUGGAACACACUGUUGUAAAAUCCAAUCUGACAUAUAGCCUUAAGAGCUACUCGAUCUAACGACUCGAUGAUGACGACUCAAUACAUCAUAGAACCCUGCUCUAAGGACUCCAACUCGAUUGAAACGAACUCCACUACAUGACUCUGAAAGCAAACCGCCGCCACUUCAAAGACGGGGCUCACCGGCGUCACCGCCCAGGUCCUUGGGGGCAGGAGGUGCCCCAAGUGGCGGCGCGCCCUCCGCCAUCAGCGCCAGCACAAUUUCCGGCACCGCUGGUGGCUCCCGCGCCGCUUCCAUCUUGCUGAGCCUGUCGUUAACGAGCUUGAUGCGCUUGUCCACGAGCGCUUUGACGUCGACGAGGACGUCGAGGGGCAGAUCCUCGACGCGGCGGCGGUCCUCGAUGAGGUCGUGGAGGAUGAUGCUCAUGUCCAUCUCGCGGUUGGCGACCCUAAGACUCUCUACGCGAUGGCGCAUCAAGGCCUCGUACCUCUGCAGGUUGCUCGUGGCCCACCGCACGUUGUUGUCAGCGACCCCUUGGAUCAUGACGUUGCGGCGAGCCAUGUCACAACACAACAGGUAAAACCCUAGAGGCGCAGGAGAUGAAAGUGGCUACUGGCUGUUUGCUCUUGGUUGGUGUGAGGAAGACGAGGGAGAGGGGCUCCUUUGGUAGCCCGUCGGGCUGACGAAAAUGGAAUGGAGCUUGGCUGAAAAAUUGGAAAGGAGUGAUGCCUGGGAUAUCAGAUGACAGCAGGAAGGUGACUGUGCAAAUCAAAAUAGAUUUCUUCUCCCGGCCGGAAUAAAACAGCUGGCUACGCGCCUAUCCUCAUUUUACCUGGACACGUGGUUGUACAUAAAAAAUGUUCCUGCUACAUUGACGUGUCAAGAAAAUACAAUGAAAUAAAGUUGCUCUGAAUCUCUGACUGCAAAGAGGGAAAUGUCCAUUGCAGAGGCAUGGAUAUCGAGACCAUGCAUGCGUUGUUGGUGCGUGUAAGAUCACAACGCAAAGGCAAGCUAGCACACACCGAUCUACAACAUGACAAUGUCCCAUUUCCAUCCAUAAGAAAUUGGACAUCCUGUAGUAAUAUUCCUAUUUGUAAAAACAUUUGGCUUAGUAAUAUUCCUAUUUGUAAAAACAUUUGGCUUGGCGAGUUAAAGUAAAGCUUUACUGAUUUAUAAUUGUUUCUAGAAGUAGAUGCAGUCUCUAUGGAGUAGCAUAUAUCUCCAUUGCAGCCGAGUACCAUUUUACAAAUCCAUAGUAGAAUACAAUGAGCGAGGACCCAUAACUGAAGAACAAUGACCCAUUAACAAAGGACUCGAUCGUGCACUAUAAGUGUAUUUUAUUGGCUAUGAAAUAUGUGACAAAAUUAGUCUACAUCUCCUUUACUUCAUUUAUGAAUAUGUAUUUUGUAUUCUAUGUUCAGUAAGAAUUUCUAGCUAGUCAAACUACAGUCAUAUACACAAUACAAACUAAAUGAGCAGAUAAAUGAGCAGAGAGAUACGUUGAGAUGGGCUCCGGAGGAAAAAGGCACAUAUACAACCAGAUCAAUAUAAUGUGUAUAUAGGUUUAUAACUUUCAGAGGGGUGGUAGACAGGAGGGCGUGCAAACAGUGGAAAAGUAAGUUACCCAUGAAAAUAAGAGUUUUCCUAUGGUCAGCAUUCCACAACAAGCUUCCUACUGGGGUAGUGUUAAAAAAGAAAAACUGGAAAGGAGAUGUCCUCUGUGCGGGGUACCAGAGACAGUAGAUCACAUCUUCUUUCAAUGUGUUUUAGAUGGGUUUGUUUGGGCUUGCUUCAAAGAAGCCCUGAGCUGGGAUAAAGUCCCAAGCAAUUUGGGGGAGGUGCUGGGAGGCUGGUUACAACUGGGGCGGUGUGUGACUAUGAUCUAAAGCUUUUUUCUUUUGCAACUAUAUGGUGGGUGCUUUGGAAUCAGCGAAACAAGAUGAGAAUUGAAAGCAAAUUUCCAAAAUCACCAUCUGAUGUUAUGUUUACAAUAUCCUCUAACUUGCAGAGGUGGGAGAUAUUGCUGCAAUGUUCUGACAGAGGUCGCCUGGCCAUAGUACGUGAACAGAUGGAGAAAUGGCUUGGAGAAUAUCUGAAGAAGGAGAGGAUGCAGGAGACGGAUGAAGACUUACUCUAAUUCCCUACGCUGUGUCUUGGGUCCUUGUUUAGAUGCUCUCUGGUUGAGUGUCUCCUUUCUUAUUUCAACUUUCAAGUUGAACCAAUAUCUGUAGCUGGUAACCCCGGCAGAGUCUGUAACUAAACGUUAUUUGCUUUCUAUAAAAAAAGGAUGGAUUCUUGAUAAAAAAAAAAUGCAAAUUAAAUCAUGUCAGAGUUAGCUGAACUAAAAGAAUACUUUAAAGCUCUAUUGUAUGUGCUUCUGAAAAACUCAAUGAAAUAGCACAAUAUCCUAUGAAAAAUUAUAAACUUGGAUAAAGAAUUAUCAUACUGUCUUGAGAGUGAGAGUCUAAGAUACUUGGAUUGCUGUUGAUUAAAUUAGAGCUGCUUUACAAUUGUUAUAUCCAUGUACCGGGAUUCGAGGCCCUAAAAAGGUUUUAUUUGAAGGGAACUAUCAAAACAUUAUGCCUGCAGUUCAGAGGCUUUGGCCAAGCUUUACAUCUGAUAUUAGUUAGUUCUGGGAGCGUCAUGCAACUUUUCUUAAGGGCAAACGAAACUAAAGCUGGAUAAAAAUGACUGUUAGUGCACUACAAUUGUUCACUGAAACUACUACUAGAAAUUUUCCUACAUAUUGUUUAUUUAUGAAACUGCAUUAUAGAAGUCUAUAGCUCGAAUGUGCUAGUCAAACUAUAACUGUGUUAGAUGUGUGCACCUUGGUUGUCACAAUAGAUUGUCUUGGUUAGAUUUUGCAAUACCUUAUAACCAAACUAUAACCUUGCUCUAAUAAAGUACUGAAGCAGAGUUGAUUAUUAGUUGUAAAAACUUUAAAGUUUUGCUAUAUGAGUUAUGCAUCAGAAGCCCGCAGAGUUGAUUAUUAGUUGUAAAAACUUUAAAGUUUUGCUAUAUGAGUUAUGCAUCAGAAGCCCUACAACGUUACCUAAAGUUCAUGCUUUUCAAUUAGUAGGCAUGAAGCACUGUUCGCUUUCCGAUAAUACUAUUUUCCUCAAGUCCUCUCUCAGAUAUGUUUGUGAGCAUUAAUCAAAAGCAUAUAUAAGCAAGGUUGACCAUGUACUAACAAUAUUUCAGCAACUAAGAGGUUUCUUAACAAAAUAUCUCUUCUAAAUAAUCGAUACACAUUCAUACCUAAACAAACUUUUUAACUAUUUUUUGAGCCACUGGUUCCAAUCAAACAACUGCAAAAAUGCAUGCAUUUACUUCAUUUUAGAUGUUACUUAGUUCUAUCGAGAUGUACUUACAAAGAUCUUGGCUCCACCACUGCGUACAUGUCCUGUCAAAUAUGCAGGCAAGGGCGGAUCUAGCGGUGGGGCGGACAGGUCAGGCUGAAGCCCCCCUACCGCUGCUCAGACAAUGGAGUCCCCCCGGAAGCCCCUCUAUGAUUUUUUAGGAAGAAGGGAGAUAAGAAAGGGGAAGAAGAGGGAGCCCCUCCUAAACUCAUGGGCUACAUCCGUCACUGUAUGCAAGUACAUCACUACAUCGAUAGCUAAGUCCCACAUUUGAUUCUUCGGUUCCUUUUCUUGCCAUCCUGAUUCCUAUUAAUUUUUCUUGAUAUUUUUAUUCAACAUUUCAAGGAAAUUAAACCUUUCAAGAACUUCUGUGAGCCUCUGAAAGUUGGUGGAGUCAUUUUUUAUUAUAUUAUGAGGAGUUGCUCAGUCAUAUAAGGUGGUUUAUGUUGCUGGAAUCUAAUAAUGAACUGCAAGGAUACAACUCACAAAUUCUACUUCCUCUGUUCCAAAUUAUAAGUCAUUCCAACUUUCUUGGAGAGUCAAAAUAUCUCAAGUGUAACCAAAUUCAUACAAUAAAGUACUAACAUUCAUGAUACCAAAUAAAGUAUCGUUAGUUUCUUCAUUAAAUAUAUUUUCAUAGUAUAUCUAUUUGGUGCCAUAAACCUAUAUGAUCCUCUCUAUAAUUUUGGUCAAACAUAAAAUGGUUUGACUCUCCAAGAAAGUUGGAAUGACUUAUAAUUUGGAGUGGAGGGAGUAUAGUGUAACAAACGAUGCAAUGUCAAAUUUGGCAAAAUUAUGGUUUAAGGAUCUAGUAGUCGAGAUAUAGUACAAGGAAUGUGUAGGCUUUGUUCAAAUAAUUACUUCAAAUGUUAUUUAAGAAAAUUCCCUACUUCACACUGGUAUAAUGAAUGCUUCUUUAUAUGGCCCUCAAAAUUUAACAUGGGUCUAACUUCCAUUCGUGGUAUAGCGCUACCAUCCAUUUUGAUUAUUGCUAAUGGUGUUAAGCGGCACUUGAAAUGAUAAUUUUGCCCCUCAGUGUAUGUAAAUAUUAUUUCUGGUGCAUAUUGUAUUAUUAUUUAGUGUAUGCUAAAAUUCAUGAAUUCAAUACAAGCCUCCAGUUAAUUCAACAUAAACUAUAAAACAACAUGAGAUUAGCCAAAGCAAUCAAUUUUUCCUAGGACAAAUAGUCCACAGCCAAGCUCUCCAUGUCCUAGUCAUCCAUGGCUAGCUGUAGCCAGCAUGUCCAUGGCAGCAGCCACAUCGUCUAACACUGUAGCCAUACCUUAAAAUAAUUGCUCAGCCCGUACCGCCAGCGACGGCUGACCUAGGGCACCCACCACGUGCCUAGACCUAGGAUUAUGAUUGGGAGGAUGAGACGAACAUAGAAGUGGACGGUGACGCCGAGCCCCCACGCGAAUUUUGCUGCUGGAGCCAGCGUCCUUAGCCAAGGGCAUUUUGGCCCACACAUGGAAAAACUGACAUGAGACAAACCCAAGAUUGAUGUGAAUCCCUAAUAGAAUAGAAUAGACAUAAGUGUCACAUUAGGAAUGAGGCUUAAAUCUAGUGUCAAAUAGCAGGGAAUUUUCUCUUUGGUCCUGGGCAUAUAAUUCAUGUGCAGUCCAAAAUAUAAUCCACGUUCUAACAUCAUUGACAAUGAAAGAUAAUUUUAGCAUAUUUGCAUUUCCUCUAAUGUGAUAUGGAAAUAUUGAAAGUAGGGAUUGAUUUUUUUAUCGGAAGUCCAAGAAAUUACUUUUUUUCUAGCAAAAAAACUCGCAUACGGUUAUUUGAACCAAUUGCAGAAGCUUUUUUUCCCAUAUGAUUCCAAUUCUAUAAUCCUGUAAAUUCAAGCCUAGUGCUAUUUUUAUUAGUAUUCUCAUGAUGAAUUAUUGUUUCGGGGCCACUUUGCAUUCUUCAAAGAUGACAGUUGGAAAGGUUUUAUUAUCUAAUUUCAGUUCUAUAUAACUUUUUUUUUCAUGUGAUUAUUAAACCAUGUGUUGAAUAUAAUAUUUCUAUGAUAAUCUGAAGAUUUAUUGGGAGCAAAGUUUAAUAUAUAUUCCAUAAGAGAAAUUUUAGAAUGACUGGAAAAAAUAAGAGCUGUCCAUCCCGAGAAAUCUAAUGGUGGAAACAAAGGAAGUACCUUGAAGUAACUAAAGUACCACAGUUACACACCAUCCAGAGCUAUAAGUCGAUGCGUGAGACUGAUUUUGAUUUCCAUGGACAUAUACCCAAUGUUGUCCUGCUGCAAUAUUGGUUCAACUGGCCAUGCAUGUCAAAAUACUUAUGCAAAUUAGAUACAAAUUCUACAUUGUUUAAAUAUAUUACUUCUUACAACAUAAUCUAAAUGUUUCAUAAGUGCAUGCACAUGAGAUGAAAUGACAUGUAAUGUAGCCUAUCAACCAGUUCAAACCCUUGCUCAUUUAGUCGUGACAAUAUAUAAAUUAGCUUAAAGUCGAACUAGACCUGGCUUUGCUGAAAAGAAAACUUUGCAAAUUGAAGCGGUAUAUUAUGAUUUAUUUGAUAGAACUAGAUAAUUUUCCUAACAUAUGUAAUUAAUAUGCAGUAUGCCAGUAUAGGAUAUGGUUGCAAUAAAGCAGAAGUAUCAUUAUUCAAGGAAAAAUGAACGCUGGUGAAAUAUUAUUGCGAGUCCACUAAAAUAGUAUAUUAAAUCUAUGGCUUGGAUUAUGUACCACUAAUUCCAUUGUAUAUUCUUUGUUUAUGAAAUUUAAUUCUGUGGCCCCAGAAUGUGCUAAUAGAACUACAACAUUAUUACAUAUGUGUGUUCUGAAGAGCAUGAAGCUUUUGUCCUAAGUACAUCUUCUUGCUGAAUUGUUCUGAAUAGCUAAUAAUUAUUUCCAUCGUUUCAGGCAAAUUGUGGUGGGGAUCUGAAAAUGAAAAAUUGGAGUUUGAUUACUGAGUUGCAGGCACUUUAAAAGUGUGUUAUAUGUGAAUGUUAAGCAGAAGUUGAGUAGCUUUGUCUCUUCAUGCUUCCUUUAUGAAUUAAUAGCUAAGAAACAUGGUAGCCCACAAUCCAAAGGUAUUAUUUGCUUCACUACUACUAUUCUCUCCUCAGAAAAUGUUGAUAAUUUUAUUCCAAAGAAUCUAACGAUUAAGCAAGGUUAAAAUAUUUUUUUAAAGAAGUCCUAGUAACUAUUUUCAUCCACAACAAAACAAAACUGUUUUGUCCAUCAAUAUCUUCAUUGAGCCAUCGAUCAAAACAAGGACAGGGUACAUGCAUUCAUUUUGACUCUUUGAUUUUGUGGUUUUAUUCAACAUACAUAGUUCUAGCUACUUGCCAUUUGAAGUGCACUCUGCCAUGGUUCAUGGAAAUUAAUAAUAGCUAAUCUAAGUGGGUUCAAAAUUUUGGCCGAAAUUUUGCAAAUCUCGUGAAAUUUCGGUCUUUUUGAUGGUGACCGAAAUCACUGUUUGCCCGAAAUUUUGUUCUCUUCGUCGAAAGGUUCACUUUUUAGUCUAAAUUUCGGUCGAAAUUUUGCGAAAUUCAGUGUUUUCACCGGGGACAAAAAAAUCGAAAAACGAAAUCCUAAUCCCUUCUAACAUAUUUUUUACUUGUGUAUUUGUGCAUACAGCUUUUAGAGUAGUAGUGCUGUUGCAUCAGUAGAAUAUAGUACACCGCACUUCAGUUUCAGGCUUCUUCGGACCUCCAAAACUCCAGAGCCAGGGACCCAGCCAACUGCCUGUGAGGGCGUGAGGCCGAACUAGUCAACAACCAAGCCGAACGAUGCAUGCAGAUGCAGCGCCCCCUCGUAUGGACUGACUAAAUAAAUGUGUGCAAAGCGUAGUGCAGACUGCAGGCAACCGGGCAAUGCGCCGAGCGACGAAGGCGCUGGUGCACGGCUCUCACUCAACCCGGCCCUUGGCAGCGCAAGUAGGCACAUCGAAUCUCAUUCUCUAUUUGAUUUGUCUUCCUAAUGCAAGUAUUAAUUUUUUUAACACAUAAAUCUAAAAUAUAGUUUGCUAAUAUUUCAAGCAAAUUGUUGUUAAACCUGAAAGAAAAGCAUGACUCUUUCAACAAGAAGAAAUAGAUUGCAAUGCAGUUCGGUUCAUGAUGAAUACGACUAAAAAAUGAUUUGCAUGCUAUGAAGUCACGUAGUGUGCCUAAAAUUUUGGAUCAACUAACAUUUUUUUGGUUUUUUUCCGGACAAACUGUGAGUCUCAAAACUAUGUUUAAUGUAAUGAAAAUUUAAUGCAAAUGAUAAACGGUAGAACUUUUGGGAACGUAUACAUUUUUCAUUGCAAACGAUCUUGUUCGGCCCCCUAUUCAUAAUUCAUGGUUCUGCCACUGGAUGUGAUCACAUGGCCAUCUGUUUUUGCAAGUUGAUAGACAAGAGAAAAAGUGCUAGACAUAGCUUUUUUUCAUUGUAAAGACAUUUUGACCCUGUUGAGUCAAGUUCCUUCAAGUUCAAUACAAAUUCCAAUCUCUUAGAUAUAUAAUCCCUGAUGCUUCCGUCUGUUUUAUUCAUGUUAAUUCAAAUUCAAUGUCUCCCUUCAAGUUCAAAGUGAACCCAAAUAUCUGUGAGGUCGGAAUUUGUUUAAGAUGAAGUUUUGCUUUAUUUGCACUCUUCUGUUUUUUUCUCUCUUCCUAGCUAUUACAAACUCCAAAUGCAUGCUCUUUUUUUUCCUCUCACCUGCUUGUUUCUAUCUUUUAUUCAGUACCUUUUAUUUUUUUGUGAAUCUGCAGCACUAUUCAUAUCAUGUGUUACAAACUUACCACUUUACAAAUUUAUUGUUAGCUAUCCCUUUGCUAACAGCCUGUGGAUUUUUUGUUAGCUAUUGACUGUGAUUCAAGAGAUAGCACAGUAUUUUUAUUUCCCAGUUUAUAGCAUAUGCAGCACUCUCUUUGCUCAGUUUAGUUGAAUGCGCAUAAUCACAUAAUCAGUGUAAUUUGAAGUUCUGAACUAUCUGCUAGCCUUCUCUUGAUCAGCCUUUUUUGUAUCGUAGAUCCUCAAAGGUUAUUGAAUGAAUUAAUAGUAUACUGCACAUACACAUAAAGAGUAGUAUUAUUGAGUUGGUUAAAUUAUUCACAGAUAAUCAAUUUGUAAUAAAUAAAUUAAAGACCUUUUUCUCAUAGUCUCUAGAGAAUAUGAUGAUCACUGGAGCAAACAUCAGGCUUCAGGUUCAGCAGGAAAUAAUGCAACCAUUUUCGAUUGGACCCGAUUAUGGAAGAUGGAAGUUCCAGGUAAUUAACUGAAAAUUAUCCUAUGGAAACUUGCACACAAUAUCUCCAGUUUGUUGCGAGAUUAUGAAGAUGGUGGCCGUUCACUUUCGCAAUACAAUAAUGUAAAUAUGCAGUAGUAGUCUAGACAGCAUGCAAUGUACGUUGAUCGGUAGAACAGAUGUGCAUGGCUACGUCUCUGCAGAACAUAUAUUGUGUUCUCAACGAAUUUGGCAGAACAAAUGUUCAUGGCUAACGAGUGGAGAAGCACGGAUGGAAUUGCCUUUAGUCUUACCUGACAGAAAAUAUCAACAGAAUGAAGUCUUUCCUUUUGGAUCAACGCAUGUAUAGCCUGUAGAUGAACUUAGAUCUGCUAGACUCUUUUCACUGAACGACUAUCAUUACAGAGGAGUACUAGUUCUGAAUAAAACAUAGAGCAGAAAACAUAUAUAGAACACACUUUUGUUCUAACGACUCGAUGACGACGACUCAACACACUGAGCUGGACUCGACCCUAACCUUAGCACUACGGAUACGAAAUCAAACGAAGCAAACACUACAAGAUAGAUUGUAAAUUUGUAAUGCAAGCGCCUGAACAGGUAGGCGUGCAUUUCUGCCCUCCCAUUACAUGGGCUUGAAGCUCUCGAGACCGUGCUCCCUGAGGAGACGGUCCACGUCCUCAGCUGUGGCUUGGCGACCGCUGCCGUCGUCCACGAUGGCGUCUGCCAUCUCAAGUAGGAAGCUUCCAUUCCGGGGCUCGGCGUCCAGGUUCAGGAGCUCGUCAGCGCCCAUACCAGCAGCGGUGGCCUGAGACUCCGGCUCCACCGCCGGCAGCAGAAGCGACGCGUCAGCUACCAUUGGUGGCUCCUGCGGCGGCGACGCCGGCACCACCACCAGCUCAGAUGCCGGCUCCGGCGCCGGCAGCAGAAGCGGCGCGUCAGCUACCGUUGGCGGCGCCUGAGGCGCCGGCGGCGGCGCCUCCACCAGCUCAGAUUGCAGCGGUGCAGGCUCUGGCUCCGGCGCCAGCGGCAGAAGCAGCGCAUCAGCUAUCAUUUGUGGAUCCUGUGGCUCCGGCGCCGGCGCCACCACCACCUCAGAUUGCAGCGGUGCUGGCUCUGGCUCCGGCGCCAGCAGAGGAAGCAGCGAUUCCUCAGCUACCAUUGGUGGCUCCUGAGGCGCCGGCGCCGGCGCCUCCACCAGCUCAGAUUGCGCUGGUGCCAGCUCGGGCUCCAGCUCCAGCUCCAGCUCCAGCAGAAGCAGCGCAUCAGCUAUCAUUUGUGGAUCCUCCAGCUCCGGCACCGGGGACACCACCAGCUCAGAUUGCAGCGGUGCUGGCUCCAGCUCCGGCGCCGGCAGCAGAAGAGGCGCGUCUGCUACAAAUGGUGCCAUCGCAAGAGGUGGCACCAUCGGUGGCUCCUCCUCCUCCUCCAGCGGCACCACCAGCGCAGAUUGCGGUGGUGUCGGCUGCAUGAACGGCGCGUUCGCCACCACUGGCGCCGCCAUAGCAACUGGCGGCACCAUUGGCGGCUCCCGCAACGCCAUCAACGCCGCAGCUUCCUCCAGCGGCGGCGAGAACGCCGCCUCUUGGGCAUCCGCCGACCUGAGGAAGUUGACGCGGUCGGCAGUGACGCUCCUGAACGCGUUCAGCACCGACACGACGGCGGCGGUGAGCUCGCGGGGCAGGUCGUCGAAGUCGCGGCGGCGGCCGAUGCUGACGUCGUUGAGGACCAGGUUGACCUCGAGCCUGCGGGCGGUGGCCUUGCAGCUGUCCACCUUCCUCCUCAUCUUCUUCGCGCGCUGGCGCGCGAAUAUUUCGUUGUCCAGCUUGUGCGCCUCCUUGAGGGACCCAGGGAGGUCUGGGUACCUUUGCAGGAUCUCCGUGACCUCCGGCACCCCCGGCCAGACCUUGGGCUCGGCCUCGCCGCGGCCGUACACCACCACGGCCGCUUGGACUUGGCAGAGGAUGGAGAGGUCGCGCGCCUUGUCGAACAGAGUGGUGUGGCGCUUGCGGAACGCCGCCUGCCGCACGGCCUUCUCCGCGAUCCAUUGGAUCUUGAUUUUCCCACCACGGCGAGGCAUAGCGCAAGAAACCCUAGGAAUCGCCCGGGGACGAUGCAAGAGGGGAAAUCUGUUCUGUGUUCUAGGUUGGUGUGAGAGCGACCGGGUGGGUGGGGGGUGGGGGCGCUAACCUGCUUGACGCUAUCGGAAAGGAGUGAUGUCACGAAUUGAUUAGCCGAAUCAAAAUGAUUUUGUUUUACUGGCUGGAUGCAACGAGAUCCCACUGUAUACAUCUUACACAUGGGGCACGCGGUAUAAACGACAGGAUGUCUAGGUUAAAAGAAUGUGCCUAGGAAUAUACUUUGAAAGAUGUAAUUAGGCUGUAAGCCUUUAAAAUUCUCUUCUUAGCUUGCAGGUACCACCAGGCAGCACAGACGAACUUAUUAUGACAUACUAUAUCAUUUUUUUUUCAAGUAGUUCAUAGAAAAAACCUACAAAAAAAUUAAACAUCCAUGGUAACGGACAACUAGCUGAAAUCGUGAGUUUAUAGUUUAGCGCAGUAUGAAUGAAUGAACUAUAUCUGACGGCUCCAAAAAAAGGUUUGAUUGAAUUAUAAAUACUUUAAAAUCCUUCUUAUAUGUACUAAUUUAUUUGAAACCAUCAAUUUAUAGUUUAGCAUACUAUGAACGAGCUAAUUUUUUUGUUAUAAACAUUAUACAUUUGAGAACGGCGAUGUAGUAUCUUUUUUUUCUACAUCUUUUAUGUAGAAAGUAUGUGCAUCCAAUUUGUAGAACAUAGAGUAGUACCAUUGGGUGUGGCUAAAUUGUGGUUCAUAAUCGUAAUGUCUAAACAAUUAUGCUUGGUUUUAAUAAGAAAAUAUUGCGGUGAAUUUUUCAAGCACCAUUGAUGAAUUUCUGAAAUUUGCAUGAGAUUAAAAAGAACUUUUCUACUCUCCAGAGGACCAACAACUUCUUAUUUAGAAGAUUUUUAUGCAACAACCCCGAGUUCUAGUUUUAUGAUAGCUUGAUAGGUUGUACACUUGUACUAGUGGGGCCAACUAGAAGGUGAUUAGACUGUAGUUGUGGUAAUAGACAUAUGAACAAUCACACUGUCAGCGCCUAACAAGGGAACGGGGUCCUCCGAGGAGGCACUUACAAGCAGGGCCUGCUUGUUUAAAAGGGCUCCCUCUUCGAGAAGUCCAAAAUAAGGAGAUGGGCUGGGGAAUCUGAGGUCCUCGGAAGACAAGGUAAAUAUCGCGCCUGCCAGGCGGGACCCACAGGGCCCCACGUGGCAGGAGCAGGUUGCGCUCGGGAGGGUUCGCUUCGAGGCGAACCAAGUGAAGGCGUACUCAAGAGCGAGAGGGCACGGCAGUCAAGGUAGGCUGUCAACCGCUCGCCCCGUCCCCGUAAAAACACCGUUAUUACGGUCAAUGGAACACGCCUAGACCUCCCGAGGACUGACGGCCUCACACAUCCCGUCCAACAGGCGGCGGGCGCCGCUCUCGUGUUGAGAGCGCUCGCCUGGCUCCCGGCUGCCCGCUGCUCAGAGGGGGAGGGCACCACGACCCCGAGAAACAGCAACGACCUCGCGGGAAGAGACUCGGGAGCUAGAUUCAACACCCCUCUCCCCGAGAAGGUGGACCUAGGUCAAAAAGCACAAAGGUUACCAUGAUAAGAUGGUAAAAAAACAAGAUUGACAUACGAAGGACUUGGACGGGGUUCUCCGGCGCCGUGUGUACCAAGGCAAGGAAGUGUCAGGGCACGUCAGAGGAGCUGUAGCAGGGAGGACGGCCAUUGGGCCGCCGUAUUCAUACAUACAAUGUAAAGGGAUGGAUUGGGGUGCAAGGAUCGCCCCAACCAGUCCCCACAUGGGCUUGGCCUAUAAAAGGCCGAUUCUUGUAUAGAUAAGACAGACAUCUCUAAGCAACACAACACACAGGGGGUAAGGUGUUACACUUCUGAGCGGCAUGAACCUGUCUAAAAACUCUCUUAGCAAAUCACACACUAACUCCCAUAGACGCUUCUUGAAUCUCUACGCACGAGCUAACCCCCAGGCCGGAUCUCUAAAAGAGGGUCUCGUCGGAAGGGUCUCGUCGGAUCCCCGCUCUCGGUGCUUGACCACCGUCGCACACAUAAGGACAACAAAAAAUAUUUUCUAUGAUUAUACUCCAUUAUCAAAAUGGACUGAAUAUAUACGUAAAUUUUUUAUGUUACUAGCAAGCCAUGACCCAUAGAAAUGUAGUGGUCCAUCAGCAUAUAGGCCAUGUAGUUUUUGGUGUAUCUUGUAUUCAGCCUACAGAUCAGACCGUGGUUUCACUAAGAUGAGGAAAAUAAACGGCCAUAUAGGCCCAGAGAAGGGGGUUGGAACUUGGAACCGUGGGCCUUGUAACACUGCCCCCCAGGCCUUUCCACUGGGCCUCGGGGAUUCGUAACGUGCGUCUCGCUGGCUGCCUGCGCCCUCUGCGGAUCUCUCUAUUACCGUCGCUCAAGCCCAGCAAGGCGGCCACCAUGUUCUCUCUCUGUCCAUCUUCUUAUCUUAUUCACCUACGACUGCAAAACUUACCAGCCCUGCUAAGUGCCGUCAGUAUUCAUUACCACCAAGUCAUCAGCAGAGCUAACACAGACCAAAAUGGUCAACAACAAAAAAAUCAAUAGAAGCUAGCAGCCCACGAGCCCUUGUCGAUGUGUGCAAGUAUGCAGCACAUGCUCUCUGUUGGGCGCCAGCGCCAUUGACCUAGCCCAAAUUCCAAGGAUACAACACUUGCUGUCACAUCAACAGAUCGAUCCUUAAAAAAAUUUUCUGCUCCAGCGCUUCUCAUGAUCGAAUAAUGUGGAUUGAUUAAGAUCAAGUCAACUGUGUGUAUUAUGGAGAUGAGCCACGCUUUGCCAGCGCCGCCGGUCGCCGUCGCCUCAAUCCGGCCGCCCCGCGCGGCCGGCUGGGGAUUCCUCCACGCACGUGCACGCCAUGUGUUCGCUCUCGACUAGAUCGUGCUAGCUAUCCUCUCUAUCUAUACAACUCGCUCGCUGCACUGAGGACACCACCAAUUGCCAACAAUGGCGCGCCUGUUCCUCCCUGCCAUCUUGCUGGCCGUCGUGCUGGUCGUCUCCAACGCCGGUGCCGCGGAGGCGGCGUGGUGGUCGGGGUGGAGGUGGGACUGCCUGUUCCCCAACAACGGCCGCGGCGGCUACGGCAACCACGGCCACGGCGGCUACGGCGACCACGGCCACGACGGCGACUUCCCGAGCCACAGCCACAGCCACGUGGCAUCGAUCGUGACGGAGGACCUGUACCGCUCCUUCUUCCCGCACAAGGACGACGCCGCCUGCCCCGCGCGCGGCUUCUACAACUACACCUCCUUCCUCCGCGCCGCCGACGCGUUCCCGGCGUUCGGCGGCGACGGCGGCAACGCCACCCGGAGGCGCGAGGUGGCGGCGUUCCUGGCGCAGAUCUCCCACGAGACGACCGGCGGGUGGGCGACGGCGCCCGACGGGCCCUUCGCGUGGGGCCUCUGCUUCAAGGAGGAGAUCAACCCGCAGAGCAACUACUGCGACGCCAACAACACCGACUGGCCGUGCGUCCUCGGCAAGUCCUACCAUGGCCGCGGACCCAUCCAGCUCUCAUGGUAAUAACUUGAUCCAGCUCCAUCUCCUCGUCCUCGUCCUCGUCCUCGUCCUCGUCCUCCUCCAUUUCUGCUGGCAAGGUCGCCUUAAUUACAUCACUUGGUGGCUGCUGUGAUGUCGAUCAGGAACUACAACUACGGGCCGGCGGGCAAGGCGGUGGGCUUCGACGGGCUGCGGGAGCCGGAGGUGGUGGCGGGCGACCCGGAGGUGGCGUUCAAGACGGCGCUGUGGUUCUGGAUGACGCCGCGGGCGCCCAAGCCGUCGUGCCACGACGUGAUGGUGGGGCGCUACCGGCCCAGCGGCGACGACCUGGCGAAGAACCGGACGGCGGGGUUCGGGCUGACGACCAACAUCAUCAACGGCGGGAUCGAGUGCGGACCGAGCGGGAAGCCCGCGCCGGUGGAGGACCGGAUCGGCUUCUUCAAGCGGUACUGCGGCAUGCUCGGCGUCGACGUCGGGCCCAACUUGGACUGCGCCAACCAGCAGCCCUAUUCCAGUCCUAGCUAGCCGCCUUUGAGGCUUUGACCCUUUGUUUUGUGCUCGCAUCGCAUGCAUGCCUCAUUCUGUGUUUGUACUGUACUCGCUGAGUUUCUCUUUGCCAACAAUAAAGUUGGGGUUUCUUACAAGUUACAAACAAGAUGGGCAACGUCGUUGAAUCCUUAACUUCUCUAGUUGCAAGAAUGUACUUACUACUAUGAGAACUAAUUAAGGAGGCACUUCUCUAGCUCGUUGAAUCAUCUGCUGCAAGUGUAUGGAAGCAGCUGGAACCGUCGUAGACACGUGAAACGUGAUGACGCACGAAUGAUUGGUUGGGUCGUCGUUGGGACCAUAGGCAAGGCAGCUGUGCGUCCAAACUCCAAACAGGCCCCACGUACUGGCGUGCUCUUGCAGGGGAAGAAGAGAGGUAGCCCCAGGUCAGGUGGGUGCAUCAUCUGCUGGACUGGACGGACAGGAGCUAGCGAUGAAUUGAUGCUUGCUUGGGGGGCACCGGAACCCCCGGUUGCUGAGUUCUUGGUUUAACUCUCUGAACGAAACAAGCAGAGCUUUGCACACACCGCGUUUCAGCAGGUCGCGUUUCGUCUGAACUGGAGAUGCAUCUCUUCCCUGAUGUCACACGCACGCACUACUCGCUAGCAGUGGGCCGGGAGUGCUCGUUUAGUUUGUCGCUGCUUCGCAACCUAGUAUGUAACAUGUGUCGUCUGAGGGGUGGUGAUCGAACGAAGCAUCCGUCAUCAGCAGAACCAACACCGAGAUACGCAUACAAAAUUAAAGGUCGCAGCAGAUGGCAACUUUGAUUCGCUGAGAAUUUGGCAAGCAGCGCAAUCAGCACACGAUUCUCAACAACUUUGAUUAAUUAAUUGCAACGACGAUCCAUCAGCCGGGAAGAAACUUAACAAGUCGAUCGAUCAACAAUCAACGUGAUGAGAUGAUGAACAGCGAAUAAUCAAGUACUGGAAUCAACGACGACGACGACGACCAAGAGCGGGGGAACGAAAUUAAACUAAACAAGAGUACUAGUAGCUAGCUAGACGGCAUGAACACACCGGCCAGGAGCUAGCUGGAGCGCUCAUCGACCAGAUCGAUCGAUAGCACUCCUCCCGGCCUCUCUACUACUUGGUGAUGGCGUAGAUGGCGUAGAUGAUGCCGGGGAGGUAGCCGAGGAAGGUGAGGAGGAGGCAGAUCCAGAACUCGUGCCCGCACCCGUGCUUGAGGAACACCCCCAGCGGCGGCAGGAUGAUGGCGAUCAGGAUGUCGACGCAGUUCGCCGUCCGCUCCGACAUCUUUGCUGCUGCUGCUGCUUCUCUUCCUUUCCUUGUUGCUGCUGCUGGAUCGGAGGACCUUCUCCCUCUCUCCUUUUUCCUGCUUGAUGCUGUUGGCUCUCAGCGCCGUGCUCUGGUAGUCUGUCUGUUUGCUGUGCUUGGAUUCCUCCUUUCCUUUGGUCCGGGUGAUUUUAUAGACC